rnacentral:lncRNA from 1 species
UAGCUGGGGCAGAUUCCCUGAGGGGGGAGACGUUUGUGAUGCUCACCCCCUACUUUAUUACAAGAUCGGUGCAUCUACAAUGGAUGUUAUGGACUAAAGUCGAGGCUAGCGUUGUUUGUUACUUGUCAACUUCUUGGUUGUUCAUUGUCUCUUUCUACAUAUUUUUAUCUGUAAAUAUACUUGAUUGCCUCACUGUUUUGAAGGGAUUUUUGUAGCCAAACUUAGCAUUUUACAUUUUCAAAUCAUACUAAAGAGUUGGUUUAUUAUGAUAAUUACCUUGAACUCUUUGGUCUUGUUGUAAAAAUUUUAUCCAAAUUCAGUUGCCCUUUUAUUCUUCGUUUUACCAAAAUGAUUUCCGCUUCCGUACCGCUUAAAAAUAAAUUAUUAUAUUCCCCUCAAAUAGCCUUAUGUUCUAUUCGGAAUGUAGUGCUAUAGUGUUGAAUUUUAACAAUAUAGUAUUGCGUUACUAGUAGUGCGUGACAUUGAUACGUGCCCCUUUUUGGGGUGUGACACAAUCUCUGCACUAUAAUUCUCUUGCCUACUGCUUGAGUCUAAAACUGCUUACUAACUUGACCGUUAGACCCUGUCCUGGCCUUAGGCUUGCUCAUAGUUGUUCUCUGUUUUGCAGGUUAUUCGGAUUUGUGCAUCCACCAUUCGCAGCAGUGCUUAAAUUUGGUUCCAACAAAGUAGACGUAAUGCAUUCCAUAAUUAAACUCACUCAUCUCUCCUCAAAACCAAAUUUAAGGACAUAUCUUAUAUACUCACAGUUUAGGUAAUCAUAAGCUUUUUCCAGGUCCAACUCGAUCCCAUGGCCCCCAUCCUGCCCUUUUUCAUCUUAAAACUAGAAAACAGUUCCUGAGCAAUUAAAAUAUUAUCAUGAAUGAAUCGCCUAGAGGCAAAGACACCUUGGUUAUAAGAAAUACAAAGUUCUAAGACUGGUUUUAGCCUUUUAUUUAUAAUCUUAAUUAUUAUUUUAUAACUAACAUUACAAAGACUUAUAGGUAUUUAAUUAUUCAAUUAUUUCAGGGUUAUCCACUUUCGGGACUAAAGCAAUAUUUGUAUGGUAAAUAAGCCUUAGGCAUGAGUUAUUUUGAAAGAACUCUUUAAUCAUUGAAUUUUUAAUUAUGUCAACAUUCAUGAUAAAAGGCUGUAGUUAAACCAUCCAGGCCGAGGGCCUUUAAGGCAUCAAUACUCUUAACUGAGUCCUAAAUUUCCUCUUCAGUUACUAGCUUAAGAAGCGGCAUAUUAUGCUGGCUAUUAAUGCAAGUGCUAAUAAUAUCAGCCAACGCAGCCAUAUUAUCAGAAGGGGGCCUUCACAGGAGAAACGCAGCUUAAAUUCCUGCAUAAAUAUCUGCUCAAGACCCUCACCAUAAUUCCAUAAAAAACUAUUACCAUCUUUGAUUUUUCUAAUUUCAUUUCUCUUUUUACAAAUAGUUGCUACAAUUUGAAAGUAAUUUGUAUUUUUAUCCCCCAAUUGCAACCUUUUAACCUUGGCUUUCUGCGCCCACAUAAUUUCCUCUUCCUUUAACACUUCACUUAUCUCUAGUUUUAACUUCCAAAUCCAUAUUAAUGUUUGUAUCUUGAACCAUCAUAAUUUUAUCGUGUAUAUCACUUUUGUAAAAUUACCAAAGAGACGGGCCGAGAGUUCACUUCCAACAACAUCGAUAUUGUCCCUAACUUGGAUAUAACGGGGUAAUUCUAUUUAAAUUGUUUUUCUCCUUUCCCUCUAGCCGAUGUGGGAUUGAACAAGCCCCGCACAUGAGACCCCAUUUUUGUGGGUCACACGUGGAGAUCCGCACAUCGGCAACCACGUGCAGUCAAGAGGACUCACGCUACACACGGGGUCAAAGGACCCUCUCACGCAAGGUCAAGGGGAGAUCCGCACAUCGGCAACCACGUGGAGUCAAGGGCAAUCACGCUACACACGGGGUAUGGCUCGCAUGUGAGACCCCAUUUUUGUGGGUCACAAAUGGAGAUCCGUACAUCGACAACUACGUGCAGUCAAGGGGACUCACGCUACACACGGGGUCAAAGGACCCAUGAUGAGUAUAUUUUAUAUUAUAUAUUUUACCCUAAUCCUAGUAUAUUUUGGUUAAUAUUUUGGAAGAAUUUUGAUACUUUGAAUUGUAUUUUCAAUAUAGGACUUUCGACUUCCUCUGGAGUAAAACAGGAUCAAAUGGAUGAAUUUUGGAGUAGUUCUAGUUGGAGGACAUUCGUGAGUCAUUUAGCUUGAUCGUAUCAAAAUCUGGGAUUUUUCCACCAAACGGUUAUUUUCUGGCGAUAAAAUAAAGGAGCAGUGCGCAGUGCUGGAAAAUGACGUUUUUAGGCUUAAAUUGCGUUUUUGGAGCCCAAGAUGACCUCAGAUGAGUUCGUGACCUUCUGGAGAAGUGUUCAGAAUAUUCCAAACAUUAAAUCCAGCUAUAUUGGGCCAGUUUUGGAGCAGCUUAUGGGUCCAAAACGUGGUUGUUCAGAUUUUAGGCGACUUUUACCAUUUAAUUUAGAGUUAUGUUUUCUAUUUUAUUUAUUAUUAUUAUUAGUUUCCUAGUGGGAAUAGUGGACCUGUUUUUAGGGUUUGUGUGGGGGCUGAGCAGAUAUAUUUGCUUGGCCGUUUACAGUUUUAGACUACGCUUUCUUUUAUGCAACUUUGGAGACAGAGAGAAUUGCUAGGGUUUUGGAGAUUUUCACUUGAAGGUGUUUUCAAUCAUUUUCUUAAUAAUAUUUUCUAUGAUUUCAAUUAUGAAUAUGCGUAACUAAUUUCUUUUGCUAGGGUGAAGCCUUAAGCCUUAGCAUGAAUAUGUGAUUUUUAUUUAAUUGCUUAUGAUUGAUUGCAUACAUACUUUGAAUUAUUAAUCACCGGGAUAAAAACUAUAUAAUUGUCUUAAUGCCUGAUCACCAUUAGGAUCUUUAGAAAAAGUAAUUUGAUGCAAUUUUGGUCGGAAGGUUCCCUGAAAUUGACGUUGGCUUCUUGCGAUUAAUAAUUGUAAUUUCACUUAGGAUGAACACCACGUCUUAAGGAUUGCAUGGUCUUUCAAAGGAUUUUCAUAAUGAGUCUUUCAUGUUCAGAUUUGAUCCGAACGUCCGAACGGGUUGCAUGUUAGAUAUACGUUCUAUGUUGGAGGUUCCAAGUAGAAUAUGAAUUAGAAAAAUCUAAUCUUCAAAGUGGCAUGUGUAGAUCAUAAGUAAUUGGUAAAAAUUCAUAGGAUUGCUAGGUGAUGGUGGAACCCUAGUGCUUUCUUAAUUUGAUUCUUCCAUAAACUGUUUUCUUUUUCCCCUGCUCUAAUAUUGCAGAUUGUUUAUUUUAAUUAAUUAAUUUCGUUUUUAAUUUAAGUAGGUUAUAAAAUCAAUCACCUCAAUUUCUACUUUACAAUAACUUAGAAUUUGGUUUGCUUUGAAUUAUUUAAUAAUCUCUGUGGAAAAUAACUUUGCGAGAUCCGUUUAUACUACAACAACCUUUUGUGAUUCUUGCAAGUAUAAUAGGAGUUUUUAACCCGUUCACAUGAGUAGUAAAAUCCCUAUCAACCCACUCACGCAAGGUCAAGGGGAUCCACCCAUCACGUAGCAGUACGGGCCCGGUCUCUGGCUUUGAUACCAUGUAGAAUUAUGGGAGAGACAGGCCGAUGACCCACUUCCAACAAUAUUGAUAUUGUCUCCAACUUAGUAAUUGCUAUCUACACAAUCUGUUAGGUGUGAAGUUUUAUCACAAAAAACCUUGGUGUUGGUUUAAGUGGGGUAAUUCUAUUUAAACUGUUUUUCUCCUUUCCCUCUAGCCGAUGUGGGAUUCAACAACUUUGGGCAUCUAAAAGCUUAUUCUUGUGAUUUUGAUAUCACCAAAUGUCUCCUUAUUCCAGUUUUUAACAAAGAACUUACGGGACCCAGCACAAUCCCUAAAUUUGUCAAUGUUCUGAAGCAAUCAACACUGUGCCAUGGUUUCUUUACAAAAUCCUUAGAGUUAGGGUGAUGCAACCACUUCAAACGUAAAAGGUAUAAUUAGCAUUACGCACCGUUAUCAAAAUAUUUAUUAGUAGUAUGGGACUAUGAUCAAAGCUACAAAUUGGGAAGUUAUGCUAGCUAUAAUCAUGAAAUUCAGUUAGCCACUGAGGAUUAGCUAUACCUCUGUCAAGUUUUUCAUAGACUAGUGUUAUCGGUGUGACCAUUACACCAAGUAUAAGGCACAUCGGUUGCGUUUAGGGAUGAAGAUUUCCAUUGUUCAUGAAAGUAAUAAACAUAUUCAUGUAACUGUGGUACUUUGACAACCACCAAGCUUUUCUAAAGGGUAAAAAAUAUGGUUAAAAUCCCCAAUUAGACACCAAGGUUGAUUAAAAGGAUUGAGUUAAAAUUUCCUCCCAAAGACAAUCCCGUAAAUGUUUUUUAGGAAGGCAUGAACAAAAGUAACAAACUGCAGACGGUCAUUGCACAAAUCCUUCACAACACAGUGAAUAAACCGGGAAAUGGAUUUCCAAACGAAACAUCAACACUGGUAGAAUUCGAAAACAAGCAAAUUCCACCCAAUGAGAUCGUAGCAAAAAACCGGAUUAAAGAACCUCCCAUAGAAGUAUUUUUAGACCUUAUCUAAAGACAUCUUCAUUUCAAACAAGCAAAAAAGGUCCAGUUUAAUUGAAGUACACAAAACUAAAAUACAGUUAAAAUCAGGUCUCCCUAGACCCCUACAGUUCCAAGUGAUGCACUUCAUCUGUCAAUUUCAUCAAGAGGACUCUUGUGACUCCCUUCUGCUUCAGCAACCUCCUCUCGGAUACGCUUCCUCAGACUUUAGACUCCCCACUUUAGGCCUAGGCGCCGCCAUAAUGGAUGCGACGGCAUCCUCAGCAGCAGAGCCACAUUCUUUAACACUCUUACUUGCUUUCAUACCUACUACAUCCCCAUGCUCUCUGUUAGCACUCAUUCCAGUCUUCCUCCAAUUUUCGUCUCGAGUUUUAAACAUAUUUUAAUAUUUUUUGAACAUAUGAUUGCAUAAAAGUUAUAUGAAACUUUGUUUAUCCAAGUUUAACUAUGUAGUUGUUUGCCCAAGUUUAAUUUGACGUCUCCUCCUUUUGGCUAAAGCCAACUAAAAACGAUUUCUUUGCGUGUGGCCUUCUGUCAGCUAAAGUUGGUAGGAAAAAAGGAAAAAAAAAAAAAAAAAAAAAAAAAAAAAAAAACUAAAAAUUCUUGCCUUAACUUAACACUAAGUUGGGUACAGUGGGGCCUAUUGAUUCCCUUCAAUUUUUGGGCCAGUGGAGCAAUGUUUUUGAGUUUUAGGCUAUUUGUACCCUUGUCAUCCACCGUUGGAAGUUCAAAAAUUGGGGGUGCAUGGGAGGCUGCGUUGGGGUGUUUGUGGAUGAUGUGUUCAUGUUUGACGGCAUUUUGGAAGAAAUGUAGUGAACUGAGAAAAUGUCUAAUUUUUUAAUUUUAACGGCGCUUAGAUAGAAAUUGGGGUAAACUUUAUUGCGAAAUGGUGCUUAAAUAGAAGUCAUAGUUGUAAUAAGAUACAGUUAUGUGAUUGUAUUUCUAAUGAAAAAAUUAGCUUAAUUAAUUAAAAUUCGUGUGAAUAUGUGAAUUUUUCUUUCUUAGUUAAUUAAAAUCGUGUGAUGUUACAUGCUGGCUAUACGGAUAUCAUGCUCAUCUUCUCAUCAAUUUAAUGUAAAGCUAAAAGACAAAAUUCGAAUGAUUAUUUUUAAUUAGUUAAAAAAAUUAACAAUAGUAAAAUUUGAACAUAUGAUCCUCCAAAAAACUCGAAAGUGACUGGGUCACCCAUGUUUUCUAUAGCUAAAUAUGUUGUGGUUGUGGAACUCCAAGUUUAUUUAUACUGUUGAAUUUUGGCGUCUUAUGUGGUAAUAUGUUUAAUAAUUGGACCUCGAUCUACCAGGCCUUAACGACUUAGAGUUUUAUUUAGCUUGUCUCUCAAACUGGUGGUGUUCUUUUCCUAUGUAUAUAUACAUGUGAAGAAUUCUUGUGGAACAAAACUGCCGAAAUGUCCCAGGUGCAUGAAAGUGAAACCCCUGAAGAUAAGGUGGUCGAAAUUUUGUCCAGGUUGCCACCCAAGUCUCUGAUGCGAUUCAAAUGCAUACGCAAGUCUUGGUGCACUCUCAUCAAUAGUCCAAGUUUUGUGGCCAAACACCUCAACAAUUCCGUGGACAACAAACGCUCAUCCAACACUUGUAUCCUUCUCAACCGUUCUCAGAUGCCCGUUUUCCCAGACAACAGUUGGAAAUAUGAAGUUUUUUGGUCCAUGAUUAGUCUUUCCAUUGAUAGUGAUGAGCACAACCUUUAUUAUGAUGUUGAGGACCUAAAUAUACCGUUUCCAAUGGAAGACCAUCAUCCUGUAGUGAUUCACGGUCAUUGCAAUGGGAUUGUCUGUGUAAUAACAGGGAAAAAUGUUGUUUUAUGCAAUCCUGCAAUUGGGGAAUUCAGGCAACUUCCCGAUUGCCUCCUUCUACCCCUUCCCAACAUAAAAUUCCAAUUGGAGACGAGCUUUGGAGGAUUGGGAUUCGGCUAUGAUUGCAAAGCUAAAGAAUACAAGGUUGUGCGAAUUACAGAAAAUUGUGAGUAUUCAGAUGCUGAACGAACAUAUUACCAUCGUAUUGAUCUUCCUCAUACGGCUCAGGUAUACACCACGACUGCUAACUCUUGGAAGGAGAUCAAGAUUGAUAUAUCAAGUAAAAGCUAUCUCGAUUCUUGUCCAGUGUACUUGAAGGGAUUUUGUUAUUGGAUUGCAAAUGAUGGCGAGGAAUUCAUACUUUCAUUUGAUUUAGGUGAUGAGAUAUUUCAUAGAAUACAAAUGCCUCUUGGGAGAGAAUCCAGUUUGCAGUUUUGUAAUCUUUUUCUGUAUAAUGAAUCCCUUGCUUGUUUUUGCUCUCUUUACGGUCCAAGUGACAAUUCUAGAUUAUUUGAAAUAUUUGAAAUAUGGGUAAUGGAUGACUAUCACGGAGUUAAGAGUUCAUGGACAAAACUCCUAGCCAUUGGACCCUUUAAACACAAUGAGAAUCCAUUGACAUUUUGGAAAAGUGACGAGUUUCUUAUGGCUACCUCAGAUAGAAGAGUCACCUCUUAUAAUUCGAGUACCAGAAACCUCAAGUAUCUUCAUAUUCCUCCUAUUAUGAAUGAGGUUAUAGAUUUACAAGCUCUUAUUUAUGUGGAAAGUAUUGUUCCAGUCAACUGAGUUGAGGGCAAAAUUUCAUUUUCUCCUAUUUAAUUUGUAUAGGCUUGAGUUUGCAUCUUCUAAUUUUUCUUUGGGGCCUUUGUACUAUGUUUGCUUAUCAUGGGCUGCCUUUCGUUUUUUGGCUUUCCAUAUUUUUAAUGUUUUUUUAUUUGGAAGUGUAUGAUAACUAUUUUUAGAGUUAAUUAAUCCUAGCAAUUCCCUUAUGUUUUUAUGUUUUUUUUAUUCGGAAAUUCCACUCUUAGAAAUUACCUAAUAACUUUCUAGGUAAAUUACAUAAUACUACCUUAAUUAUAGAUUGAAUCACAAUCUUAUACCUUAUGUUUUAAAAAUUACAAAGUCAUACCUCAUCUUACGAAUUUGUUGCAAUGUCAGACAUCUGUCAACUUUUUGUUAAGUGCUAACGUGGCUUGAGAUGGGUCUAUCCUUAACCCAACUAGAUUAAAAAUUAAAAAUAAAAGAGUAAAUUUCAUUUUACCACCAUAACUUUAUGUCAAAUAACAAACUCAUACCUCAUCUUUUAAACAUUGCAAUAUCACAUCUCAUCUUAGAUAUUCAUUGCAAUGUCACACUUUAGUUAAAUUUUCUGUUAAUUUAUCUGUUAAAUGAUGACGUUACAACUGUGAAGCUCACAUUUUUGUUAAUAUAGAUGUCAAGUUUAAGCCACAUGGACAAAAACUAAUUAAAAAUUGUUAUUAUUUAUAAAUAUUUGAAAAUAAUAAAAAAUAUUAUAAAAUUAAAAAAAAAAUUAUAUAUAUAUAUAUAUAUAUAUUUACAAUUUGGGCCCUAAAUUAAUGAAAUUCACUCUAUAGCCUCCUUCUCUUCUAUCCUCAAUCUACUUCCGACGACAACAGCCGAUGGCAUCCAUUGCCAUAGUUGCAGACCUCUGCACCAGAUAGUCGUAUGAUCCAUAUUUGAGAGAUGACCCGAUAGCCGCACGAUCCGAUGUGGAGAGAACUAAGAGAAGACCCUAUCGCCAACGACGAUGCAAGCGACGAGCUGGCAACCCGACCGCCGUGCUUCCCUUCACCGUGGUGGACGAGGAGUCACCCGCUCCAGACGAUCUGCCUACUGCGAUCAGUGCCGAGUCGUUGGUGAAUCCACUCACCCACUCUCACUUCCUCCUCUGCCACCAAACCUCGCCGUUCUCCACCUCCUUUCUCAUCACCAAAACCCCAAAAAUUGAGGAGUAAUGUAAUUGCGGUGUGGAUGAUUCGAUUGGGGGGGGGUGUUAUGGCUGGAUGAUUCUGGUGGAUUGCGCAACGAAGGGUCGAGAGGGUUGGGGUUGGUUGGGGAAGAUGGGUGAUGGGCAGGGGGGGGGUGUUAUGGCUGGAUGAUUCUGGUGGAUUGCGCAACGAAGGGUCGAGAGGGUUGGGGGUGGUUGGGGAAGAUGGGUGAUGGGCAAGGAAGAAAAUAUCGGGAAUAUCGGAAAUAUCAGUAAUUCAAAAACACGGAAAUAUCGAUGAAAAUAUCGGGAUAAUAUCGAUAUCGAUAAAAAUUACAUGGAAACCACGGAAAUUGUAAGAAAAACUUGGAAAUUUUUAUUGAAACUUUGCAGGAUGUUUAUUUAGUCAAUUAUCUAUUAGUUUAUAAAAAAAAAUGGAAGGAAAUGCAUUGCACGAUGGAUUUAACAUUAUCAAGUUGAUUAUAUAGCGAGCUGACAAACAUUGUGAGUGCAGAAAAUAUGUAGUAAUUAAUGAAAGAAGUUUAAACACACCAUAAUCGUUUAUAUAUAAUGAAUUUGUACAAUAUUUUACGCUGUAUACAUUGCAUGAUAUUAACAAUUUAAUGCUCAUUUGUACAACUAAAUAUGUGCAACUCGACAAGAUUUAGACAUGAGUGAGUGAGAAACAAAAAAAAUGAAUCACAUUGAACGCUCUAAAACAAAAAGAUAGAUAUGCGAAUUAUUGGAGAGCAUGGUUACCCCCCUCAUUUUGUUCAAUGUGAUUCAUUUCUUUAUUAAUUUAGACAUGAGUGAGGGAUGUAACCACGUCUCAAUGUAAAAUUCCCCUCAAUGUGAUUCAUUUCUUUAUUAAUUUAGAAAUGGUUACCCCCCGUUCAAUGUGUUCAAUUUAGACAUGGUUACCCCCCUCAUUUUAAUCAUAUUGGAGAGCAUGAUUUAAAUAUAGUCAUGAAGAAAUGACUAUGCAUUUUAGGAGAAUUUAGACAUAGUCAUGAAGAAAUGAAUCACAAAAAGAUAGAUAUGCGAGAUUAGAAAUGCAACACGUGAUGGAUUUGCAAAUGACUGCUUAAAAUGAGUCAUUAACAAAUUUCUUUUACAUAUCUUUGUAAUGUUCAUGUGAUACAUUUCUAAUUCCUCCUAUUUAACUUUGUGAGACAGAUUUCUUCUUCAUUUGCCUAAAAUGCAUGCCUUGUAGUUUGGGAGUCUCUCACCCAAACAUACAUGUAGUAUUGGGUGUGGUAACUAUUUGUAAUAACUUUUUAUAGUGGAAACUCAACUUCCUUUAAUAUGCAAGCAUAUAUGCUCCAGAUCCAUGAAGAAAACUAAGGUUUCAACCCCAAAAUUAAUUGGCAAUAAGAGUUAUGACACAACUCCUAAUAAACUUUGUGAGGAAUUUCUUAAUUAACUCUCCGAUUUGGAACUUUUCUUACAUCCAUGCAGUAAGAUGAGGAAAAAAGAACUUUGCUUCUAGUAGUUACCGUUUAGCUUAUUUUCUAUCUUUAUAAUAUAAAUAAUAUUAUUUAAAAAAAAAAAAGGUGAUGCAGAAGUUAUAUGAUGGAAAGAUGAGAACUUUUUAUCUCACCCCACACCGCAACAAAUCAAAACCCUUUUGACUGACUGAUAAGUUAUCCCACUAUCCCACAUCGGCUGUGCAAUAGAACUGAGCAAGCAAACAAUCCUAUAAAAGCUAGUUUGCAUCCCACAUCGGCUGUGCAAUGGAAGUGAGCAAGCAAACAGCUCUAUAAAACCCACAUUCCAAGGCACUCCUUUCUCGAUCUUUUGGCUAAGAUCUGAUGUGGUAUCUGUUAUUGUUAGUUUAAUAUUUUCAGUAUUAUAAGUAUUUUUGAAGUAUUUCGUGGUAUUAUAGGUAAUAUCGCGAUAUUACCUAUAUAUCUCGAUAUUAUCGAUAUUAUCGAUAAUAUCGCGAUAUUUUGACGAAAACUUCUUGGAUACCUAUUAAAAUAUCGGUAAAGCAAAAAUCCGAUAAUAUCGACGAAAUAUCGUCGAUAUUAUCAAUAUUUAAAACUUUGGUUUAGAUGGGAAGGUCUGCAACUUUUUCUUUUAAAAUGAUUAAACUUUUUUAUAUUUUAAAUAGAUUUUCUUGUUUUUGGCAUUAUUAGAUUAUUAAACUUUAUUGAAAUUAUUUUUUUGGCACGUGGCACAAAUUUGAUGAUAUUUCAUUAAUUUGUUGUUAGGUCAGUAUUUAAUAAAUAAAUUGACGGAAUUUUUAACGGCGAUAUGAUAUUGUAAUGUAUUCGUAAAUUCGAAGCACGAUAUUGUAAUGUUUAAAAUAUAAGGUAUAAUUGUGAUGUGACCUAUAAUUAAAGUGAUUUUUUGUAAUUUACUCAAAAUAAAAUUAUUUAAUUAUUUUUAUAAAAAAUGGUGGGACCCAUCCUUACAAACUAUCAACCUCACCUUCUUCCCUAGCUGGCCACUAGCUGGCCACUCCAUCCACCUUAACCUUCUGCCUUCUUCUUCCCCUUCUCUGCCUCCCGUAAGUCUCUUUUUUCUCCCCUUUCUUCCUUUUCUGUUGUCUUCCUCAUGAACGAGAUGCAAGCACAAUGAACUAGAGCUUCUUUCCUUUUUCUUUUAACUUUUCUAGUUUUCUGGAAAAUAGGAGAACUUGGUUCCGGUGAACCAGAGAUCAGACAUGUGGUGGCUAUGGUGGGUUAUGGUGCUAUUUUUAUCACUCCAAAUUCUAGAGGUAAAGCCCCAUUGGGUUCUAAUUCUAAUGCCUUCAGAACUUGAAUUGGAAAAUAUAAGAAGUUCCAAUUGAAGCUAUUCUAAGAAAACUAGAAAGGAAAAUUAAAGAUUUCAAAUAAAUUAUUCAUGAAAUUUCCGAAAAUGAUAGGAUGGAGGAGACUCAUAUUUGAAAAGGAUAUAAUAUUUGGAGCGCUUAGGGUGGUUGUCUGCGAAUAUGGGGGUCUGGGUGGGGGAAGGAUUGGUUGGGCUAUUGGAGGUUGCAGGUGGUUUAGGAUGGGUGAGUUGGGGCUGUGGAAAAUUGGAAAGUCCUACAGGAAGAGAAAUGAGAAACGAAGGGAGGAGUCGAAGGAGUGGCAGAGAAGGUUGAGGUGGAGGGAGCAGCCGAGGAAGGAGUGGGACUAGAUGAGGGAGAAGACGAUGAGAUCGAUGUCGUCGGUGGAUUGGGGAAGAAGGUGAGGUUGAUGAGUUUGUAGGGAUGGGUCCUACAUUUUUUUAUAAAAAUAUUUAAAUAGUUUUAUUUUUAAUUUUUUUAAUCCAGUUGGGUUUGGAAGUAGGACCACCUCAAGCCACGUUAACAUUUAAUAAAGAAAUUAACAGAAAAAUUAAUGGAGGUUUGAAAUUACAACAAAUUCGUAAGAUGAUAUAUGACAUUAUAUUAUUAAAACAUAGAGUAUGACAUUGUGAUUUAGUUUAUAGUUGAGAUAAUUUUAUGUAAUUUACACUAAUUUAUUUUACUCAUUUAACAUAAUCAUGUGAAACCUGCUAGCAUAGGAGUGCAAACAUUUAUAAAUAAAAUCCGGGGUGCUAAAAAAUUUAGGCACAAAGAAUAUUUAUAGCCUUUUAACCCCUAAUCAUAGUUAAUAAAAUGCGGAAUGAUUAUAAUAUGUGAAAAUGCAUCCAUGUAUUAUUCGACAACUUAGCUAAAACUUUUAAAAAUUGGGCCAUUAUUUUAAUUUUAAUAUUUCUUGAUUAGUAAUUUUAAUUCUUUCAAAAAUAUGUUAAAAAUAUGUGUUGGAUGAAUUUUGUAUGUCUUAUUAAAAAUGAACCGGAUCCCCUCCUGAGCAUAGGGUGGGGAUCCUCCUGAUCGGGUCAUCUGGACCAUUGAAAUUUGAUCAAACGGCUACAAACAGGAGGAUCCUCCUAAAAUUAUAAUUAUUGUAGUUGUUGGAUCAAAUUUCAAUGGUCCAGAUGAUCCGGUCAGGAGGAUUCCCACCCUAUGCUCAGGAGGGGAUCCGGAUCCAUUAAAAAUUGUGUGGCAAUAACGUGUUAGGUACGUACCUAUUUAAAACGUGUACUACAUGUAGUUACCUGUUUAAAACAUGUAUUGUACCUUGGACUUUUAAAAAAUGUUCAAUUUAACAAAUCAUUAAAAUAUGUAUGGAAAUGAAAGUAUUUGUUAAAAAAUAAAUAAGUACGUGUAUAAUACACGAAUUUAUAACUAUGCCUCGCAUCAAUAAAACUACAAAAAUUAUAAUAAGCUAGAUUUUUUUUAAUAGUAUCAUUUUGAGAGUAAAAAAAAUGACACGAAUUUAAUGAUUUCAUUAAUUUAAAAUCAUGAAGAUAGGAAUUUGCAAGAGAAGAAAUGACUUCUACCGUCACAAUGAAGCUGCAGCAGUUACUGUUGGUGUUUUCCAUGGGGAGUUUGGAUGUUGUGCUCCUCAACCCGUCCUAAAGAUAGACCGUGUGGUUGAUCACCACCUUUUCGGUUUUUUAUUAGAGAGGAAAUGACUAGAACAUUGAUUUUCAUUGGUCAAGUUAUCAAUCCGCUGGAACGAUGAUUUGAUCAAAAACCUCUUGUUUUCGUUCCUUCAAUCAUUGCAUUCUAUUUGAUCAAUAGCUUCAACUGCUCCUUGUGUUUUGUUUUGAAUUUGCAUUACAAAUAAUGUGAUUUUUGAAGAAAGUUGAGGCUCUAGUAUAAAACUAAUUGGUAAUAUGAGGAGUAGCUCAUCUUUUUAAAAGCCUUUGCAAGAUUUCUUUUUUCACCGAUGUGCGACACUUUGUAUAUUCACACACGUCCACUCAUAUGUGACGAAUUUUCAAGCUAAACAUGUGGAUAACACGAAUUGGGUGAUGUGAAGCAUGUGUGGACUUGUUCCAUGCGCUUAACCCAAUCAUUUAUAAACUCCUUGCCACACCCCCUUGAGCCGUACCUUCCUAGUGUUAGCGACAGGGACAUGUUCCUUGUGCCUAGUCCAAUCACUUUCCCACUUUGGGUGACUUGGACUCCUUUUUAAUUAAACAAAUUUAACGCCUAUUUAACUAAAAUCACGUCCAUUAAACACAAAUAAUUAAUUCAAUAUAAUUAACAAUUAAUUAUAUUUAAUCAUCAUCCAUAUAACGUUACUACGACUUAACAUAUGCGUUACCACUUAGAUUCAAGCUAAAGCCAGCAGUGAAAUUAAUCAAUGAAUUAAUAUAAUUCCACAAACCAUGAAUGAUACCUAGCAUCAUGUCAUGGCUCCUCAGAUUAGUAGAAAUAUACCAUAACUAAUCAUGAUACUCUUUUGAACCUUGAUUGUAGUUACAAUGCAGUUUGGUUGUUCUAUCAUCUAUAUCCAGAUCAAAAUUUAUGUGAUAUGUCAAAUCACAUACAUUUAUCGAUGAUCGCCAUGAUGCAUCUCAUGUGACUUUGGGGGAUAUCUCCUUCUAUUGAACAAUUACCCAAAAUGUGAUAGAUUCCUUAUCGCACAUUCAUGUACCUUCAUACUUGUACAUGUGAACUUGAAUAUCACAUUAUCUGGCUCUGUGAUCUCAUUGAAGGUUAUAAGGAGAAAUCAAGGUUCAUAUCUACAAAUAUACGACACCUAUGAUGCCUUAGCUCUAAGAACUAUUUGCAUACUACAACUAGAAGCUUUGCAACAUUUGACAAGCGAUAAGCAUCUAUACGUUUAAGCUUCUUUGGCGGUCAAUGUUGAUUAGACUUGUUUUUAUAGAUAAGCACCUGUAUAUCUAUCACGUUUCCAACAAGCAUAGCAUGAGACUAUGCUAACCUUAAUGUGGUAUAAACCGACCUUUCCGGAUAGUCAAUGUCUAGUUGACUUUCCAAAUGGCUAGGAACUUUGUUUAAUGACUUAGUUACUAUGGAAUACAAGUCUCCUUUUGUCAUCACGUUGAGCCUAGUCUUGGUCUCCAACCUCUGGUCUGUAUCCUUUAAUGCAGGGGUUCCGUUCGUCAUGGUUUUGAAAUUCCCUAGCAUUGUAUCAUUUCCCUAGGGACUAAUCAAGGAACGUUUCUAACAAAAUUUCAAUGACUAGGAGCAUACAAGAAUUCAACGUAACAAAAAAUUUCGAAGACCAAAUGCGAGAGCCUUCUUCGAGGGUAACAAAUUAGGCUCUCAAUGAAAACACCACUUUAUGGUAGUAAAAAUUCACCGUCUUUAGUCUAUCAACAUCUUUGAUCAAGGCCAAAGUCACACGCUCCCACAAGGUGGGAGCGGGGGGUUUGGCCAAUGGAUCUUUGAUACCUAAGUCAGUAACUCUGAAAAGAGUAAAAGUUUAGGGUUUGUGUGUUUAGCGAAAGCUUACCAGUAAAUGGUGGAGAUGGGAUAUUUAUAGGGGAGUGACCGGCGAUGGUAGGGUUCUGCUUUACACCUGACGACAUUUGAUUGGCUAAGAUGAGUCAUCUGUAAGCUGAUGAAAUUACUUUUAUAAAGCCUACAUUAAUAUUUCCCUGUGGAAGGGGCAUAACCCUUGAGGUACGUUAUGUCUCAGCUAGUUUCUGAUUGUUUGUAUCAUACUUGACCAAUCCUGAAACUACCAAGUACCAGUCAACUUUAUACCCUUAAGGACCCGCUGAGGGGUUUACACUAAGCCACCCUUGCCGAAGCAUAAGAGUUUCCCUCCACCCAGGAGGCCAAUCACAAUACAACACAUGUCAACUUAGACUAGAACUCCUAGCCACAUCGACAGUGGUUGAAAGCCGAAGACUCUCAUCAACUAUAAAAUAAGAUCAUUCUCCUACAAUAAGAACAAAUGUCAUUACUAUACUUAAACUCAUCAUUAGAACCUAUUAAUGAUGAUUAUGCUUGAACCUAUGUAUUGUGUAAAAAAUUCACUAUUAAUGAGAACCCAUCUGCUCAUUGGACACCGCCAAACUUAGGGUGAACCACGUACAUCUUGUAUUUGCUUCCCUAUCUUUAUCUCUUCACAUAUCAUCCUUACUAGGUGAUUGGAGAAGUCAUGCAAAUGUCACAAACUUGACACUUUACAUUGUUCCAAAGUCUCACUUAUUCCUACUUUCACCAACUUUGUCAAGUUGGUUUCCAUUGUUCGUACACUCUCCUUUGAUCAGACAUCCCUCUUCAACAUAGGAAACGAAGGAAGUCAUAACACGUAGAACGACACCCCCUCAUACCUAGUGUAAGGCAACGAAUAAGGGAAAGGAAGAAGGUUACUCUUCAUGCUAAAAUCAAAGAGUUAGAAGCUCGAAACAACACAAUAGCGAUCAGGAGUGAGAUCCUCUAAGAACAAUACGAGAAGCUCUUUAAGAUGCUCUAUGAGGCUAGACAAUCUCUAUUUUAUGAGCCCAUCACCCUCAUGAAUGUGGAUCACCCCUUGGGUACCCUGCAACACGUAGACUUACAUGUCUUUAGUAUGAGUGUUUUUAAUGAGAAUCGACAUUCUCACCCAGAUAUUGAUCAACAUGAGACUUCUUUCGACCCAGCUACUACACACCGAAGCAUGAGAUGUGGAAGUAGACAUCUCUUUGUAAAAGGAAUUAAAGGAUUUAAAACUGUUUAUCGCAAUUGUCAAGACUUCUUGAUGCAACAUCAAGAAAAACCUAUCCACAUAGGCUCAAGAAUCAAUGACCCAAGGAUCAUCAAAGGACUUUGUCCCCUAUCACAACCUAGUAUAGCCUCUAAUUCAGGAAAGGAGUGGCAUGCCUUUGGAAAACAAGAGGGCUUAUGAGACUCGGGGGACUUUUAACAGGCACAUCCUAACAUACAGUACGUUAAAUAUAAGGAAAGGCAACAUUCCUUGACCAAGCUUUCCUACUUUCAUAAGACAACUUACAAAAGAGGGUUCCAAUGGUGCCUGACUUUACUUAGAACCCCAUUAUCCUACAAAUUCUCAAGGAAGUGAACAAGCUGAAGACUGAGAGACAUGCCAAGAACAUGACUGGAAUCAUCCAAUGCAAGACCCUCUAACAAGGAGGAUCAUUUAUACCCUUUUACAAGGAAAAACAAAACAGAAGCUUGGCUUACAAUCAUAUACUAAGAGGGAAGAUCGAAUUAAGCAUAUCCACGUCUUUGAAUCUACCAUGGUAUACCGAAGACUCAAUGAUGAGGAACGACGUCUUAUAUUCCCUCAACUCUCUCUAGUGGAGCUCUUAAUUGGUAUUGUCGUCUUCAACCUAAUAUUAUGGAUUCCUUCACUGAGCUAAAAAGACUUUUCGUGGCUCAACACAUCUUCCAAGCUGAUCGCUUACACUCUGCUGAUGAGUUAUACACCAUUCGUUAGAAGUUGAACAAGUCAUUGUGUGAAUAUGCUGAUCGCUUCAAUCAUGAGUACUUUCGUUGCAUUAAGGCAGAUGAUAAAACAACACUUAGGGCGUUAAUAGUAGGCAUACAUGAAUUCUUUUUCAAGUACAUGAUCAAUGUUAACACUUGGAAGACUUACUCUGAAAUGAUGAUACAAGCUUACAAUCAUGCCUCUACCGAGGCAAUGACAUACCAAAAUAACCAUCCUAUGAUUAACCCCUAUCAACAAGUGGUGAGAGGAAGUCAAGUUCUACUAAGUGGGAAGGUUUUGGGCCGUUCAGACAUUCAUUGCAUCUUCUUUUGCCUCACUUAGCUACCCAUUAAGUCACAAAACGUAUCCGUUUCUUGGCAAGAUGAAGGAUUUUUAAUCUCAGCAAGCUCAUUACAACAAGAGGGAUAAAGGUUCCUAUCAAGAUAACAAGGGGUGAAUGUACCUUUAACUAUUAUGACCACUGGGUCAAGCCUUGCUCUUUCAAAGUGGGGGUACUAGGUGCUGAAAGAAAUGCUAUUACAAGAAGGCAUACACAUUACAAAUGUUUUAACCUUUAAUCGUAUGAGAUCAUUUGUAAUACAAGCCAUUCAACAUAUAUUUAAUGAAGAUGGAAUUAAGACAACUUCGUCUGAGUCUUUUACAUUUCUAGCACUGGAACACUUGGUCAACGCUGACCUACCUCUAUACUCUAACUCAGAGCUUCAGUAUACGUACUUUGACACAAAGUAAGUGAAAAUAAGUGUUACAACCAACAUGGUUCACACAUCCAAAAUGGAUUCCUAUAUGCAUAGCAAAACAUUCAUAAGCAUCACUUAUGUCAGUCGGCAUAAACUUCAAACAUUUCAAUACAUUCAUACAUAAGUCAAUUGAGCUUCGAAUAGGUGUCAACAUACAUUUUGCUAUUCGACACUUGCUACAAUGGCGGCAACUUGUCCUUAUUCUCACCAACCAGGUGAUGAAAGAAAUCACCUUUGUAUCAUCAACCAAGUGAAGAAGGGUACAACUCAUACUCUAAUAUCCUUCGGCAACUUGCCACUCUUGCCACCAACCAGGUGAUGAAGGAUACAACUCGUACUCUAAGUGAUGAAGAAACUCACCAUUAUAUCACCAACCACGCGAUAAAGAGUACAACUAGUACUAUUAAUAAACAUAUUUUCCUUGGAAACUCAUCAUUCUUCUCACCAACUAGGUGAGAAGCAGUACAAUUUGCACAUGUGAACCCUUAACAUUCACAAAUAAUCAAAAACCCUAAAGCCUUACAACUCAAAAAGGGGAUAAGCAAGCUUAACUCAACCCAACUAAGGGAGUACUUAUGCCCAACAAGGGUUAUAGUCACCAACAAAGUCUUAUUAUAAGCCAACAAAGGCUUCAGUACAUGGUAUACAAAGAUCAAGCUCUUCAACCCUCUUGCAUCUGCUUCAAACAUUUCCCUGUUGGAUAAAUAUCAACAAUCAAUGAUAAAUUUAUUUUUGCUAAUAAAUAAUAAAUGCGAACAACUAAAUUAACAGAGUAUGAACAAAGAAAUAAUAUUAAAUAGAUAUAUUGAAGAUCGAGGCUUACAUACCGCAAUGUCCUUGAAACAUAUAUUUCGUCCCUACUCAGUCCUUAUAGUUAUACGAACGUUUGCUUCACCAGGAUUCAACGAUCUAAGUCAGAAUUCCAACACCGAAAAACUUGACUUCUAGCGAAUUUCUUUGUGGUUUUCUCAGUAAGAAUGUUUGGGAUUGUAGAAGAAGGAUUUUAUUUUCUAUGUUCUAAAAGCCAUGCAGAUGGAUGUAUAUAUAAUAGGUUUAUACCUGUUUGCAACAUGUAUGAUAAAAGGAUGCAUCUAUUGGAAGACAUCUUCUCAGAAGGGUGCUUUGCUCUUUACGAUGCUUCACCACACUUCAGACUUCAUCUGAAAAGAUGAGUUUGUUGAUAAAAAAUAAUUAAUUAAAAAAUUUAAUUAGUAGAGCCCAUAUUUUGAUAAUUAAUUAUAUAUUAAUUAUCAAUUAAUUAGUACACCUCAAAGUCUAACCCCAAGGCCAAGCCCAAUUUUAUUCUCCAUGGUCCAUCACUCCAAUCACUUUCUCUAAGGGCUAAAGCCUUAUAAACUGAGGGAACCUUUUGGUAGUGACCAAUGUGGGACAAUGAAAAUUCUACUCAAAAUUUCCAACAAUACCCCACAAGUGAGUUGAAAUUUGUUUCAAACACCACCAAUUUACUUAUAACACCCCACAUUUAAAUGCAAAUAUAUGACUAGGCUGCCUAAAACUGAGAGAGAAUAGACAUGAUAUGCAUCAGGUGAAGUGUCUUUUGGACUUGAACUUACCCUAGUGAAAACAUAUCAGGUUUACUUGGUGAAGCAGUGGAUGUGGAAGAUCUUGAACUGUUCACCAUAUUAGUAAACCGUGGGUGGCCACCAAAAAUGGGAUGCAAGAAAAUUCUUUUAAGACUUUGCGCAACCAAGCCUUCGUUGCACAAAUCGUAUCAUUCGUAGCAAAAAUUUCUAUGGUCUAAAACCAAUUAACUCAAUUUUUUCAACGUCUCUUUCUAUUCUCUUACCUCUCCUCUCUCUUUCCCUUUCCAAAUCUGGCCCUCUCUCAUACUUACUAUCUCCUCUCACUCACACUUAAUAUAUUCACUCUUCCUCUCUAUCUCUCACUCACUCUCUCCCUCUCACUUCUCUCCCUCUCUAUCUCUCACUUUCACUAAUUUCCCUAAUUUCUGUCUCACUCUCACUCACUCUCUCCUCCCUCUCUCUCUCUCUUUCCUUUUCCCUAAUUUCUCCCUGAAUUUUACAUUUUUUUUCAUUAUUAUGUGUUUUUAGAGUUGAUUUUGGAUUUGGGGUUGGGGCAUGGGGUACGCAGUGGAGUUUGGAUCGGAUUUGAGGUAUGCUGAUUUUAGGGGAGGUUAUUUUGGUAUUAUUUUAUGUUGUUUUUUUGGUUAUUUGACAAUGUUUGUUUUUUCGCUAAGAAUUGUUAGGACUUUGGAGGCGGAAGUUGAGGAGGCGAGGAUUAGGACGCCAUCAGACCAUAUCCCCGACCACUACCACCACAAUAGACUUGUAAUAAGAUUUUAUCAUUAUACUUUGUUAAUCUCUAUGUACAUUUUUAAUAUAAUAUACAUUUUCUAAUUUCGUUGCACAAACAAUUAACUUCGCAGCGCAAAAAAUUAAUAAAUUAAAUUAAAAUUAAAAUAUUAAAAAUAAAAAAUAAAAACACCUUAGGAAGUCUUAAAGGCAAUCCUUAAGUACAGAACUAAGGAUUUUAUGUUGGUGUAUGUAGGAAACGUUGAAUGGGAAUUACUUGUGAAUGGAUACGCUGAUUUCGACCACAUAGGAUCUGCAAAGUGUUCUGGGUUCUCAUUGCAGAUUUUGGCGAAGCACCGGUGACCUGUGACGGUCACCGUUAACUUUGACGGCAGGGAUUGAGAUUCUGUUAGUUUUAACAGAAUCUUCUAACAGCAAAGGUAUAUUUCGUUAACUGUUUUAAACCCUCACUGCAUCGGCCUGUAGCACCGUUUUCGACGAGUGCGACGUUUACUCGCCGAAUUGCGACACGUUCGCCUACGAUGGUAGCCCAUGGCAGCACAUGUUUCCCGACGCGUGGUGAUUCGUGGCUGGAGUAUGGAAGCACGUGGAGGCACGUGAUAGACCCGAGACCUAACCCUAGGUUUUUUGGUGUUUAAACACGUGGUGCCCUUUAUUUGUGAAAAUUUGAAGCCUAAAUGGUUGAAUUAGACAAUGUUCCAUUAAAAUGAUUAUUUAAGCUUAUCUUAGCUUACAUUGAUAUUCACAGGGUUGAUUGAGGAUCAAAAGGAUACAUGCAAUGAGCCUAUUUACGAGGGACGCUCUGCUUACCUGUGAGUGGACCUUUUCAAAAAACCAAAUGUUUUAACCUUAUAUAUAUGUUUAUGCUUUUAUGCUUAAUAUGUGGAUGCAUAUUAUUAUUUUAGUCUCAAACAAGACUUAAGAUGAUAUUGAUAAUAUCUUUAGAUCAUUUGUGAUCUAUUUUCACCACAUGGUCAUCAUGUGACGUGUCAUAUAAUUAUCUUCGACUGUAGAUUUGUUUGCGGGUUAUAUUUGUCCUAGUGGAUGCUAAGGUUUACGAUUAUUACUAGUAUUGAGAUUAACUAGUUGAGCUAGUAUAUUUCCUGCUUGCUAUACUCAUAUUGGAUGCUAGCAUGAUUGAUUGACAGAAGGUAUGAUAUCUAGACUUGACUUGAUGAUUUUUCUUUGAUAUUGAUGAAUGAAACUUUACUAUUAUGGUAGUAUUAUAUUAUAUAGUUUUUCGCUAUAUAUGUUUUCAAAACAGGGGUUCUUAUUAGGGGUGGGUAAAAAAUUGAAAAAAACAGAGCCGAACACCAAACCAAAAAAAAAAAAAAUCAAACCGAAUUAAGUGAACCGAACUGAACCGAAAUAGGUUAGUUCGGUUUCGAUUUUGGUUGUCCAAAAACUAGACCAGAUCAAACCGAACCGGUUUAUAUUUAAUUAUUUAAUAUGUAUUCAUUAUAUAAAUCAUAUACAAAUACUCAUAAUCUAAAGGUCAGAUGUUUCCUUUACCUUCAGGUUUAGAGUGUUUGUUUCAGCCAACUUGACAACAAGUUUUGUGUUGCUAUAAUCGUAUUAGUAAAACAUAUAUACUGAUUAUGGAUAUUUUCUUUAUAAGAUUUCUAAACACAAAACCCUAGCCAUCCAAUUUACUCCCAUUUCAUUUCCUCUUUGUUCUCAACCUCUCUCUCUCCCACCGUCGAAUUCAUGCACCUCCAUGCUCUGCUUUCUUAUUUUCUUCCUCUCUUCCUCUAAAUCAGACUCUCUCUCCCUCUUCUUGGGUUCUCCCCGCGAAUUUCUUUUUCCAAACCGUGAUUUCCCCUCGCCAUUUUUGAAUCAAAACCCCCUCUAAAUUGGAAGAUUCUAAUCUAGAUUUUUCAAUCUUCUGAGUCUCGACCCACGAAUUCCUUUGCAAGGCUACUCUCAUGGUAAUUUCUCUCAUGUUCUACAGAUUUUCUUUUCAAUUUCAUGGGUUUUGCAGAUUUUAUUUUCAAUUUCAUGGAUUCAGCAGCUUUUCAACUUCAUGGGUUUUGCUAUUUUCUUUUCCUUCUUUUGGUUGGGAAUUGAAGCAACAAUACUAUAUUGGAUAAAAUUGUGCAAAAUAGAUAGUCUUUUGAUUCCCUGUUCUGAGUUUUGGCUUACCAUGUUAGCAUGACAAGGUCAUUGCAGACUUGUGGUGUGUUAAUGUUAGGAUGAUUAUAUGUUUCAAUUUUUUUCCUUAAAAAAAAAAGAACAAAACACAAAAACAAAAAAAACCCGAAACCAAUUUGAAACUGAACUGAAAAAAGCUGAAAAAAAAAAAGGAACCGAAAAAAACCAAAAAAAAUGAACCGAACUGUUUUGUAUCGAACCUAGCCUUAGUUAUUAUGUUUAAAUGAUGAUUUUAUAACUAUGAUAAAACUGGUCCACUCACGUUUUGUUUUAUCGACACCUUCGGGACGCAACGAGACUAAGAAGAACAUCAGUGGGGAUGAGUGGGUUUGGCAGUGAAGCUUUCAUCCUCUAGAUUUUGGGUGAUGGCUCCUUUAAUGCAGUUUUAUCUAUGUUGUAAUAAUUAUUGCAUGAUCACACUUUUGAUUAUGCAUAGCACUGCACUUUGUUGUAUUUAUUGUUGUGUGAAACUUCUAGCUGCUUUGAUGUGAUGUGAUUAAUAAUGGGGUCAAACUCGAGAUAACUUGUGUCUCCAAGUGGGGAGGAUGAUAAGUACUUAUGCAGCAGCUUUGGAUUUAUUAUUUUAAUGAACAUCUUUUGGUUCAAAUUCUUACAUAUCAUAAAUAUCUUACUAUGGCUUCGUCAUUGAGUUGGCUUAUGAUGUCAUCUCCGGAUGGGGUCAUGUAGUCAAUUUAGUGUCGGCCAGCACAUUACAACCUCAUAACUUGUGUUAUUGGGGUUGGAGUGUGUCAUAGUCCAUCUAUUGCAUCUGGAAGUAACAAAUACAUUGAGAAAAUCCCGGUCUGACCCCAAUUUAUAAGCAAGCUUUAAGUCUUCUAACACAUGAACGGCUCUUACAAAUUGCUUCGCAUUGCUUGUCAUGAAGGGUGCCCUAACCGGUGGUAGUCUCCUAUCUUCAUUGUGAAGGUAAAAGUAAUACUUUUUUGUUUGUGAUGUAUCAAAACUGUGACCUUGAUCCCAAAUUCCUUUUAAGUUUAAUGCAUUCGCAAAGAUGACUCUGGUUAAAUGGUCAAUUGAAUUUGGCGGAAGAGCCUCCUUAAUAACUCCCUUAGUCUCCUUUUGGCCCACAAAUUAGACCUGAUAAUUUUUUACACGACCGGUUAACACGACACGAAAAUAAUGGGUUUCGAAUCAACACGAUAACUAAUUGGAUCAUUAUUGGGUCUCACAAUAAGAACCCAUUAAUAACUGGUUAUUAAUAGGUUUACACAAAAAGUGACACGCGGGUAACUUGUUUCGACACGUUAAGAAAAAAGUUAUUUCGAUGAUUUAAUUUUUUAAACUACUAAAAAAAACUUUCUAUAAAUACAAUAGUCAUAGUGUAUAUGUAUAUAUUGUAUAUUAAAUAUUAAAUAUGUGUUAUUUUAUUAUUAUUCUAUAUAAAUUUUAAAAAAUUAAGUUUUAUAUAUUUAUUUAUAGUAUACAAUAGGCAAGUGAGAUUAAAAAAAUUAUAAAACACAUUAAAAUAAAAGUAUCAAGUAGUUUAAAAAUACCAAACACAUUAAAAUAAUUAUAAUAAUUAAUUUACAAGUGCGAAAAAUGUAAAGAAAAAAAAAGGAUGCAAAGGCUCAUGCUCGCAUCCUCUACGCUAUGAGUAUGGGUACAACAUCAUUUGAAUUUUAAAACCAUACAAACCCUCAUGAAUAGUAUUUUUAAGGGAGUUCAAAAUAAAUAAAAUUCAUAAUCCUUAAUGUACAAGUCUAAAAAAAUGUGAAAGGAUAUAUAAACGUGCAAGGUUUCUCAAUCUUGAAACGCAACUCCCUUCAUUUUGCAUAUCCUUUCACAUUUUUAGUAUUUUAUAGUAAUGUACUAAUAUUUUUCAUUAUGCUCUAAUUUUGGAGUAUAUAACACUUGAAAGACAAAUAUUUUUUUUAAUGUUUUAGAGUAAUAUUUAGUGAUAAUCUAGUAUGCAUAUACUAAUUUAGUAUUAUGUUUUCUAUUUUUUAUGUCAAAUUAUGUUUUUCAUUUUCAUUAUUUAUUGAUUUAAAAAAUAUUUUUUUAACAUGUAAUGGGUCAUAUUACCUGAUAAUAUUAAUAGGUCGAUUUCGGAUUAGGUCAUAUUACCUGUUUACUUUAACGGGUCUUACAUGACAAGACCCGUUAAGAUAUCGGGUAUAACAUAAAAAUGACACGAACACAAAAAAAACAACACGAACAUAAAAAUUGAGUUUGGCAUUCGCUUCUUCAGCCACUUGUUUGAAAGAAGGGUUGAGGGGGGACAAGCUUUUCGACUCAAAGGCCCAUGGCAAAGGACAAGCAUGGACCUCCGCUAGGAGAUCCAUCGACCAAAACCAGAGGGACGAGAGCAAUUAGUUCUCGGUUGGAUUGUUUGAUCCAGAUGCUAUCAAACUCAGCACAACCUAAAUGGCCAACAGCGAAUACACCAUGUUCUCCUCGUUGCCUUGAGUGGUAAGCAGAAGGUUUGUAAUUCUCUGUGUGAUGUCGGUUAGUUUGCUGACGGAUUGUUACCUACAAGAGUGGGUCGUCAAAAACACAAAUAGAUUUUCUUCUAAUGAGGAAAAGGGAUCGUAUAACUUGUAAGGAUUGCAAAGUUAUACCGGGAGAGAGCUUGGCUAAUCAACAUCGCUUGUUGGUGAUGGAUGUACAUAUCAAAAGAGUGAGAAAAAAGAACAAGACUUGGAAGUGCCCAAGGACUAGAUGGUGGAAUCUAAAAGGAGAAAAACAAGCCAUUUUCAAAGAGAAAGUAAUCACCCAGUAUGGGUGGGAUAGAGAGGGGGAAGCUAGCCAAAGGUGGGAUUUCAUGGCUAGUUGUAUCCGAAAAGUAGCAAAAGAGGUAUUAGGAGAGUCCAAGGGCUUUGCUCCACACUAAAAGGAAUCUUGGUGGUGGAAUGAGGAGGUACAAACAAAGGUGAAGGCUAAGAAGGAAUGUUGUAAAGCCUUAUACAAGGACAGGACCGAUGAAAAUGGUGAAAGGUAUAGAAGAGCGAAGCAAGAGGCGAAGAAAAUUGUGAGAGAAGCUAAGUUAGGGGCUUAUGACGAUAUGUAUAAACGACUAGAUACCAAAGAAGGAGAGUUGGAUAUCUAUAAACUAGCUAGAGCAAGGGAAAAGAAGACAAGGGACCUAAACCAAGUGAGGUGCAUCAAGGAUGAGGAUGGAAAGGUUUUUGCUACAGAGAACGCGGUCAAAGACAGAUGCAUAGGUUAUUUUCAUAAUCUUUUCAACGAAGGACAUGAAAGGAGUACUUCUUUAGGGGAGUUGAGUAACUCAGAAGAGUGUAGAAACUACUCCUUUUAUUGUCAAAUCAGGAAGGAAGAAGUGGUUGUAGCUUUGAAGAAGAUGAAGCAUAGAAAAGCAGUGGGCCCAGACAAUAUACCGAUCGAAGUGUGGAAAGUCUUGGGAGAGACAGGUAUAGCAUGGCUCACUGACCUUUUCAAUAGGAUUUUGAAUAUGAAGAAGAUGCCAAAUGAGUGGCGAAAUAGCACUUUGGUGCCUAUCUACAAGAAUAAGGGCGACGUACAAAAUUGCAUGAACUAUAGGGGUAUAAAGCUAAUGAGUCAUACAAUGAAGCUCUGGGAGAGAGUCAUUGAGCAUAGAUUGAGGCAAGAGACACGGGUUUCGGACAACCAAUUCGGGUUCAUGCCAGGGCGCUCAACCAUGGAGGCAAUCUAUCUCUUACGAAGAUUGAUGGAAAGAUAUAGAGAUGGGAAAAAGGAUUUACACAUCGUCUUUAUAGAUUUGGAAAAAGCGUAUGAUAGGGUCCCAAGAGACAUUAUUUGGAGGAUUUAGAGAAGAAAGGAGUACGAGUAGCAUAUAUCAAAGCUAUAAAGGAUAUGUAUGAAGGAGCAAAGACUGCCGUAAGAACUUAUGAAGGACAAACCGAAAGUUUCCUCAUAACUGUAGGAUUACAUAAAGGCUCAUCCUUAAGUCCUUACAUUUUUGCGUUGGUAAUGGAUGAGUUAACAGGACAUAUUCAAGAUGAUAUUCCUUGGUGUAUGCUUUUCGCAGACGAUAUAGUGUUGAUAGAUGAAACUCAGGAAGGGGUAAAUGCGAAGCUUAACCUUUGGAGAGAAGUGUUGGAAUCUAAAGGUCUUCGCCUAAGCCGAUCAAAGACAGAAUAUAUGGAGUGCAAGUUCAGUGCAAAUGGAGGCCAAAAUGAGUUAGAGGUGAGGAUCGGAGAUCAGGAAAUACCAAAGAGCGAUCGUUUUCGCUACUUAGGAUCUAUCUUGCAAAAGAACGGAGAAUUAGAUGAAGAUCUCAACCAUAGAAUACAAGCUGGAUGGAUGAAGUGGAAGAGUGCAUCCGGCGUGUUGUGUGACCGUCGUAGGCCACUGAAGCUCAAGGGAAAAUUUUAUAGGACGGCAAUAAGGCCGGCGAUGCUGUAUGGCACAGAAUGUUGGGCGGUGAAGCAUCAACACGUACACAAAAUGGGUGUAGCGGAGAUGAGGAUGCUUCGUUGGAUGUGUGGGCACACGAGAAGGAUAAGAUUAGGAAUGAGGAUAUCCGAGGUAAAGUAGGAGUAGCCGAAAUUGUAGGAAAGUUAAGAGAAAAUCGGUUACGGUGGUUUGGACAUGUGCGAAGAAGGCCUACUGACUCUUCGGUUAGAAGAUGCGACUAUGGGACAGAGGUUCAGGGCCGAAAGGGUAGAGGAAGACCUAGGAAAACUUUGGAAGAGACUCUAAGAAAAGACUUAGAGUAUUUGGAUCUAACGGAGGACAUAACACAGGAUCGAGCACAAUGACGUUCUAAGAUUCAUAUAGCCGACCCCACUCAGUGAAGAAGGCUUUGGUGUAUUUAACACAAUACGUUGGAAAUGAAGCAAAGCUUAUUUAUUGAUAUCUCCGAUAAGUUACAAAUAUGUACAUAUACAUGAGUCAAAAUAAACAAACAAGAGGGAGCCUUCACAAAGGUUGCUUAGGAGAAGUCUCAGCAAUCGGUAGAGCCCCAGAAAGAGAAGGCAUCGGAGGGGGAUCAUUCGGCGCCUCAGUACUGGACAGAACCCUAGAAGGAGGAGGCAUUGGAGGUUGAUCAUUUGGAGCUUCAUUAUGCGGUACAGCCUCAGAAAACGAAGGCAAUAAAUGCCUUUGGAACAAACCCACAAACAGCUGAUGAUCAAGUAAAACCUGACCAUCAGAUUCCUUCAUCUGGUCAAGCUUCCUCUUCAUGUUUGUAGCAUAGUUAUGUGCGAGCCGGUGCAACUGUUUAUUCUUAUGCUUGAGCCUUCUAAUCUCCUGUUUGAGACUCAUCACUUCAGCCGCCAAUGAUUCAACUUGGCGGGUUCGAGCAAAUAGGCGUUGGGCCAUAUUAGACACAGAACCUAUACACUGAAUACUCAGAGCCAGAGAAUCCUUAACAGCCAAUUCAUUAGACCGUUUGGAAAGUAGUCUGUUAUCUUUGGGAGUGAGAAGGUUCCUGGCUACCACCGCAGCGGUCAUAUCAUUCUUCAUCACGAAAUCCCCAACGGUAAGAGGACCAGUAGGGGAUAAGAAAGAUGGGCGCCAUAUGUUGUCUGGAGAAGGUGUGGCUGCCUCUUCAACAAUGUUCAAGUUAAAACAACGGUCGGAGGGGCCAAACAUUUUCAAUGGUGUUGAAGAGAGAAGAGGUUGGACAAAUCAAGAUCUUAGAAGUGCAAGAAGGGAGCUUCUACUGGUGAAGAUUCAAGUGUGCUUUGAAACUUAAUGCCAGCCUCUAUAAAAAUCUGCACUCGACGGAGCUUCAGAAAUCGAAGAGGCGUUUGCCCAGAAAUCGAAGAGGCGUUUGCUUUCUCAAAAGCUGGGCUGCUCAGAGACCACGACGGUCGAUCUCAGAAAUCGAAUAGGCGUUUACUUUCUCAAAAGCUGAGCUGCUCAAAGAUCACGAAGACCGAUCUCAGAAAUCGAAGAGGCUUGCUUUUUCAAAAGCUGGGCUGCUCAGAAACCACGGGCCGAUCUCAGAAAUCGAAGAGGCACUUGCUUUUUUUCAGCCUUAUCAGCACCUAUCACAUGCACACUCAUCUUUGCUGAAAUUACGGGCAUUCUGUUGAAGAUUUCUGGUGAAGUAGAAAGCACGUGAAUCUUACUAUUCAAUCAUCCACUUUUCACACGCACCAUCAGCUCAGGGGUACCACAGAUAACUUUGCCAAAGAUCUCUGACAAAGUUUAGACACGUGAAGCUUACAGCUCCCACUACAUCGCUAUGACCAAGAAGGGUAAAAGAAUAACAAAGAAACAGCACUAACAAAGUUUAGACACAUAAAUUUUGAAGGUCUAGCUAUCAUAUUAUUACCCACAAGGGUAAAGGAACAGCACCACUGUUGGAUAAUUGGAAAGUCCCUGUGUGUCAACCUCUAUGCUCCGUGGCAAGGUAUACUAGCAAACAUGCCCUACCUUGACUCACAUUCGAGAAAACACUCCCAACAAGAUUGCUUGCUCCAAAAUCGGAGAGGCACCGUUCUCCGAAUCUCAAGAGCCAGACUCCCAACAUGAUUAAUUUCUCAAAAAUCGAAGUGACACCGCUCUCCGAAUCUCGAGAGCCAGACUCCCAGCAGGAUUGCUCUCUCAAAAAUCGAAGAGGCACCGUUCUCCGAAUCUCGAGAGCCAGAUCCCCGACAGGAUUGCUUGUUCGAAAACCGAAGAGGCACCGCUUUUUCAACUUCGAGAGCCAGAUCUCCUUGGAUAAAGCUUGUCUGUAAUCUUCACACGCAACAUCAGCUUUCCAGAUACCAUAGACCACUUUUCAAAGUGCUCUGACACACGUGAAGCUGGCAGCUCCCACUACCAUGCUAUGACCAAGCAGGGUAAAGGAAUAACAUUACUACUUGUUGUUAGGGAGACUCCUAUAUAUGUCGACCUCCAUCAUCAACGGACAGGCAGACCUGCAAAAAUGCUCAACCCUUCCUCAUAUCUGAGAGGGCACUCCCAACGAAGCCUUUCGAAAUACUCAGCUUUCUUUCCCCCCGAUAAUACCUCUGCAAACAAGUUACACCAGAGCAAGAAUAUCUCAUAUCAUCAGGGUUAAAAGCAAGAGUAUCCCAUAUCAUGCUUUUUCCCUGUCUUUUCCUUUGGCCUUGUUCUUACCUGCAAGACAAGGAGAAAGAGAGUAAUCAGUCAGCACUUGGAAUCAAGCUUCCAGUCAGGAACUGACUGCCUGGAACCCCUUACCUGAUUACUUACCUGGCAUUGCUCUCGAGUACUCAUCUUCAACAUCUUAUGCUUCCAGAGAAGAUACCACAUCUGCUUGAAGAACCGAUAGGGAAAGUAAGAAGGAUACAAGGAAGCAUGUGGAGACAAGCGUAACAGAACGCGUGCCGAUACAUCCACUACUUUGUCAACAGCAAAAGUAUCCCAUAUCAGCAGGGUCGAACGUACUCUAGAUUUGAUGGACUUGUUUUGACCCUUAAAUUCUUCAGUCGGCCUUAUACUCUGGAGGAAACCAGAAAACCCUCCAGCCCAGUUCAAGAAUAAGCCUGUGGAAAGUUACUUCUUCAAAAGCAAAAGUAUCUCAUAUCAUCUAUUCUCCUUUUCUUCUCUUUAUCCUUCAUGCUGCUUGCAAGAUAGGGAGAAUGAGAACAAUCAGCCGGAACUCGAAAUCAAACUUCUGAUCUGGGACUGAUUGCUUGGAGCUCUGAUUGCUUACCUUGUCUGUCACCUCUUUCAGUAGAUCCCCUAGCUUGGCGACUUGGGGGACUCCUACUACAUGGUUUGUAUCGCGCUUGACCAAGCCUGAAACUACAAGUAAGCUUCAAGUGAAAUUGAUACAUUACCUUGUGCAUCUCCACCAGUUAAAGAUACCACCCCUGGAUGGAGGAAGAGUACUUCCAGAGAAGAUGCCACAUCUACCUAUGAGACAGAUAAGGCAAGUGAAGACGAUACCACACUUCGGUACUUAGAAGUUUCGUGAUUACGAGAUCAUUCUCCCACAAUAUUUCCUAAUGUCAUUUGUACUAAAUCAUUCAUUUGUACUCACUAAAGGAGAGCUUGAACCUAUGUACUUGUGUAAACCCUUCACAAUUAAUGAGAACUCAUCUACUUCGUGGACGUAGCCAAUCUGGGUAAACCACGUACAUCUUAUGUUUGCUUUCCUGUCUCUAUCCUUUUACAUACUUAUCCACACUAAUGACCAGAGCAAUAACUUAAUACUUUCUGUUGUACCAAAGUCCUCACUGAUUUUGUGCAUCAACAAUCCUUAAGUCCUUACCCUUUUGCGUUGGUAAUGGAUGAGUUAACAGGACAUAUUCAAGAUGAUAUUCCUUGGUGUAUGCUUCUCGCAAAUGAUAUAGUGUUGAUAGAUGAAACUCAUGAGGGGUAAAUGCGAAGCUUAACCUUUGGAGAGAAGUGUUGGAAUCUAAAGGUCUUCGCCUAAGCCGAUCAAAGACAGAAUAUAUGGAGUGCAAGCUCAGUGCAAAUGGAGGCCAAAAUGAGUUAGGGGCGAGGAUUGGAGAUCAGGUAAUACCAAAGAGCGACCGUUUUCGCUACCUAGGAUCUAUCUUGCAAAAGAACGGAGAAUUAGAUGGAGAUCUCAACCAUAGAAUACAAGCUGGAUGGAUGAAGUGGAAGAGUGCAUCCGGCGUGUUGUGUGACCGUCGUAGGCCACUGAAGCUCAAGGGAAAAUUUUAUAGGACGGCAAUAAGGCCGGCGAUGAUGUAUGGCACAGAAUGUUGGGUGGUGAAGCAUCAACACGUACACAAAAUGGGUUUGGACAUGUGCAAAACCGAGUGCAAUGGCGUUCUAGGAUUCAUAUAGCCGACCCCACUUAGUGAGAAAAUACUUUGUUGUUGUUGUUGUUGUUGUUAUGGUUGUGAAGGUCGGAGGAUAUUCUCGAAGAGAAGGAAGACAAUGAAUUAAUCAGAGGUCGUAGGAUUCCUUUGGAGAUGGGAGAUUUGGCCAAAACCCUAAAUGAUUCACUCUUGCAUUUGUUGUGUAACCCUUUAUUAGCCUUUUUAUAGCAAGAAAUAGUGGGUGCCUAGUGGCAAUUCCCAUCCAGCACAUAUAUUGGAAUAAGUUUGAUGAGGAAUAAAUAAAUAUUAAAAAAAAAGUGGCCGAAUUUUUCAAAGUAAAGUUUUAGCAAAAUUGCAGAAUAAUACACGUACGUAUUUUCACAUACUAUAUCCGCUCCGUAUUUUACUAACUAUGGUUAGGGGCUAAAAGGCUAUAAAUAUUCUUUGUUGCCUAAAUUUCUUUUAGCACCCUGAAAUUUAUUUAGGAAACCUUUAAGGGAAGGGUUUCCCCUUUUUUCUUAUAAAAAUGGGGAUUAGUUGCGGGGUCCACACCAUAUUGAAAUUUAACGAUCCGAACCGUCUAUUUUUCAAGUUGUACCUCAUAGAUCAUCCUUCCAGAAUAUUAGCCAAAUCGGAAAUAUUUAAGACAUCUAAUUGGGUUCAAAGAAUGAACGAAUACUUUGUUAUAUAAGAAACAAUGAAAUUUGAUCAUAAUAAUUAAAUAGGCAAAUGGCUUCGGAUUGAAUUGAAUUUUUAUAAGAAUGAUCUAUGAAUCAAGACUUACAAAAUAAACGGUUCGGAUCCUUGAAAUUCAAUGUGGAGUGGACUCCACACCUAAUCCCCAUUUUUAUAAAAAAAAAAUAAUAAAAAUCCAUUUGCAUAAAGGGCCUGUAAAUUGAUUAUGUAAAAUGAGGAAAAACUUAUUAAGUAUUUAAGAAGGGAAUUCAGAAGAAAAAAAGAAAAAGAAAAACGUAAUGUUUUUUUUUAUUUUUUAUUUUUUGAAACGAACAUAAUGGAAUUGUUAUUAUUAAUUAAGUAACCGUAGAAGAAUAGUUAUCAUACACUUUGAAAUAUUACAAAAUUUGGAAGGCCCGAAAACUAAAGGUAGCCCUUGAUAAGCAUAGUACAAAGGCUGGAAAGCAAAGUUUGUAGGUGCAAACUCAAGCCUUAUAUCAUACAUACAAAUUAAAUAGGGUAAAAUGGAACUGUGACCACUCCUCACUUGAUUGGAACAAUACUUUUCACAUAAAUAAGAGCUUCGAAAUCUAUGAUCUCAUCGAUAAUAGGAGGAAUAUGAAGAUACUUGAGAUUUCUGGUACUAGAAUUAUAGGAGGUGGCUCUUUUGUCGGAGGCAAGCAUAAGAAGUUCGUCACCUUUCCAAAGUGUCAAUGGAUAACGAAUGCCUUUAAGGGGUCCAACGGUUAGGAGUUUCUUCCAUGAACUCUUAACUCCGUCAUAGUUGUCCAUCACCCAUAUUUCAAAUAAUGUAGAAUCCUCGCUUGGAUCGUAAUGAGAGCAAUAAGAAGUGACUGAUUCAUUAUACAGAAAAAGACUAUAAAACUUAAAACCGGAUUCUUUCCUAGAAGGCAAUUGUAUUCUGUAAAAUAUCUCAUCUCCUAAGUCAAAUGAAAGUAUGUAUUCCUCGCCAUCUGUUGCAAACCAAUAACAAAAUCCCUUCAAGUACACUGAACAAGAACAUGGAUAGGCUUUACUUGAUACAUCAAUAUUGAUCUCUUUCCAAGAGUUACCAGUCGUUGUGUAUACCUCAGCAGUGUAAGGAAGAGAAAUACGAUGAUUAUAUGUUUGCUCAUCAUCAGAAUAUUCACAAUUUUCUAUAAUUCGCACAACCUUGUAUUCUUUAGCUUUGCAAUCAUAGCCAAAUCCCAAUGCCCGAAAGGUCGUUUCCAAUUCGAAUUUUCUCUCAGGAGGGGCAGGUAGAAGAAGGCAUGAAUCGGGAAGUUGCCUGAAUUCCCCAAUUGCAGGAUUGCAUAAAACAACAUUUUUCCCUGUAAUUACACAGAAAAUACCAUCGCAAUAACCGUGAAUCAAUACAGGAUGAUGGUAUUCCAUUGGAAACGGUAUAUUUAGGUCCUCAACAUUAUAAUGAAGGUUGUGCUCAUCACUAUCAAUGGAAAGAUUAAUCAUGGACCAUAAAACUUCAUACUUCCAACUGUCGUCCGGGAAAACGGGCAUUUCAGAACGGUUGAGAAGGAUACAAGUGGAGGUUGAGAGUUUGUUGUCCAUAGAAUUACUGAGGUGUUUGGCCACAAAACUUGAACUUUUGAUGAGAGUGCACCAAGACUUGUGUAUGCAUUUGAAUCGCAUGAGAGACUUGGGCGGCAACCUCGACAGGAUUUCGACCACCUUAUCUUCAGGAGUUUCACUUUUCCGUAUCUGGGACAUUCCUGUAGGUUUGUUCCACAUGAAUUCUUCACAUGUACAUAUACACAGUAAAGAACACCAAAGUUUAACACACAAACUAAAUCAAACGCCAAGUCCCUAAAGCCUGGUAGAUCGAGGUUCAAUUAUUAAACAAAUUACCACAUCAUAUGCCCAAUUAGUACUAAAUAAACUUGGAGUUCCAUAACCAUAACAUAUUUAGCUAUUGAAGAAAACAAGGGCAAUCCAGAGUUGGCGAGUUUUUUAAAGAAAACAUGGUCAAUUCAGUCAGUUGCGAUUUUUAUGGAAACUCAUACGUUCAAUUUACUAUAUAUUUUUUUAUUUUUUUAUUCAUAUUAAAAAUAACCAUUCAAAUUUUAGUUUAUAAGUCUACAUUAAAUAGAUGAGGUGAGCAUGAUAUUCAUAUAUGAGCCAACAUGUGACAUCACAUGAUUUCAAUUAACUAACAAAGGAAAAUUCAUAUAUUCACACGAGUUUUAAUUAGUUAAGCUAUUUUUUCAUUAGAAAUACAAUCACAUAAUUGCUUCCUUAUUACAACUAAGAGCUUUUCUAUUUAAACACCACCUUGCAUUUAAGUUUACCCUAAUUUCUAUCCACGCCCCAUUAAAAAUGAAUUUUUUUUAACCUUUUUCUAAAUAAGGACGAUGAAGUGGUGAACUUAGAAAAAGGUUCGGUUUUUGCGGUUCUAAAAUGUUAUUGGUUUGAAACCAAACUGCAGUAUGAAAAAACAAGUUGGUUUCGGUUUUGAACAUUUAAAACCAACCGAAACUGAACCGUACCACAAAUUAAAAAAUAUAUAUUUCAUUUAAUAUCAUUGACUAGCUGAUCAAGGAUGAGGAUAUAUAUGCACCUGAACGAUAAGGCCCCUACCCUUACCAUCAAAAGACUCUCAAAGGUAUAGAGUACAUUCAGAUGAAGAGGAUCGAGAACCCGGUGCACAGGCAGAUUACUUUCAGCAAGCGCUGGGCGGGGAUCUUGAAGAAGGCUAAGAAGUUAUAUGUGCUGACUGAUGCUGAGAUUGGAGUUUCCAUUUUCUCCUUCCAUGGAAAGCUCUUUGAACUAGCCACCAAAGGAUCUCUAGCUCUCUACCUAUUUCUGUAUAAUAAUAAUAAUAUAUCUUGUUAUUUUAGUAGAUAGUUUCAAAUACCAUAUAUUAAGUUGUGUAAUUUUUUUAGUACAUUAAUAGAAAGAAAAUUUAGACGGUGAGAGUACAAUAGCCAAAACCAUCAACUUGCGCUCUGACCCGACCAAGGAAGAUUCAAUUCGAGGCUUAUUGAUAAUCCACGAUCAACUUCCUUAUCAAAGGCCUAAGUGUUAAUUAACUCUUUUUUUUCUAUUGAACAUUGACAGUACGAGAAACUUUUUAUUGAUAUUUAAGAAAAAAAGGCUUUUAGAGGUUAUUUUAGUACUAUUGGACAACAUGAUACGGGUUGUGUUGUAUCCCUUAUUCAGGUUGGAUAGACCUGAAAAAGCCUUUAGAGGUGCAUUUUUAGGUAUGAUAUUAGUAAAAUAAUGACGUUCACACAAUAUUGUGUCCGUAGUUGAAUUGUAUGCCUGACAACUAACUUCCCCACUAAACAUACCUAGAAAUAAAUUAAUUGAAUCGGUCACAUGAAAAAAUAUACUUUCAUUUAUUUAAUUAAUAAUUUGAGAAAAUAAUAUCCAUAAGAUAAUCUUCCAAAAAUUUAAGACAAAAACACCAAACAAUUAAUCUAAAUUACAUAGAAAAUUGUGCGAAAAUGUAAACUAAAAAAUUAAAGAGGAGGAGGAGGUGGGUGAACUGGAUCACACUUCGGCCAUGCCUUAGCAGUUCUAAUGUUCCAUAUGUGCAGAUGCCUCUUGAAAAUCUGAAAUCUCCAAAGUUGUUUCUUCUUUUUUACAAAGUAUUAAUAGAAAUUGGGAAGGUUGUUUCUUCUUUUUUACAAAGUAUUAAUAGAAAUUGGGGUAAAUUUAGAUGAAAAGGGGUUCUGUGAUUGUAUUUCUAAUGAAAAAAUGGCUUAAUUUAUUAGCUUGUGUAUGAUUAUGUGAAUUUUCCUUUCGUAGUUAACUUAAUGUAGAAUUAAAACGUAAAAUUUCAAUGGUUAUUUGUGCAUCAUUAAAAAAAAAAGUAAUCAUAGUAAAAUUUAAACAUAUGGUCCACCAUAAAACUCGAAACUUACUGGCUCGCUUCUGUUUUCUUUGAUAGCUAUACAUGUUGUGGUCAUGGAAUUCCAAGUUAAUUUAGUACUGUUGGAUUUUAGCAUCUUAGUAAUAAUAUGUUUAGUAAUUGAACCUUGACCUAACAGGCCAUAGAGACUAGGAGUUUGAUUUAGUUUUCUCAAACUUGUGGUGUUUUUUCCUGUGUAUAUAUACGUGUGAAGAAUUCAUGUGGAACAAAACUACCAAAAUGUCUCAGGUGCAUGAAAAUGAAACUCUGGAAGAUAGAGUGGUCGAAAUCCUGUCCAGGUUGUUGCCCAAAUCUCUGAUGCGAUUCAAAUGCAUACGCAAGUCUUGGUGCACUCUCAUCAAUAGUCCAAGUUUUGUGGCCAAACAGCUCAGCAAUUCUGUGGACAACAAAUUCUCAUCCUCCACUUGUAUCCUUCUCAACCGUUCUCAGACUCAUGUUUUCCCAGACAAUAGUUGGAAACAAGAAGUUUUCUGGUCCAUGAUCAUCUUUCUAUUGAUAGUGAUGAGCACAACCUUCAUUAUGAUGUUGAGGACCUAAAUAUACCAUUUCCGCUGGAAGAUCAGGAUUACGUAUUGAUUCUCGGUUAUUGCAAUGGGAUUGUUUGUGUAUCAGCAGGUAAAAAUAUUCUUUUAUGCAAUCCUACAACGAGGGAAUUCAUGCGACUUCCCAGUUCAUGCCUUCUUCUACCUUCCCAUCCCAAGGGAAAAUUCGAAUUGGAAACGGUCUUUCGAGCAUUAGGAUUUGGCUAUGAUUGCAAAGCUAAAGAAUACAAGGUAGUGCAAAUUAUAGAAAAUUCUGAGUAUUCAGAUGAUGAGCGAACAUAUUAUCAUCGUAUUCCUCUUCCUCACACGGCUGAGGUAUACACAACGGCUGCUAACUCUUGGAGAGAGAUCAAGAUUGAUAUAUCAACUAAAACUUAUUCCUGUUCUUGUCAAGUGUACUUGAAGGGAUUUUGUUAUUGGUAUGCAACGGAUGCUGAGGAAUACAUACUUUCAUUUGAUUUAGGUGAUGAGAUAUUUCAUAGAAUACAAUUGCCUUCUAGAAGAGAAUCCGGUUUUAAGUUUUAUUAUAUCUUUCUUCGUAAUGAAUCCCUUGCUUCGUUUUGCUCUCGUUACGAUCGAAGUGAUAAGUCUGAAUCAUGUGAAAUAUGGGUAAUGCACGACUAUGAUGGAGUAAAGAGUUCAUGGACAAAACUACUAAUCAUUGGACCCUUACAAGCCAUUGGAAAGCCAUUGACAUUUUGGAAAAGUGACGAGCUUCUUAUGCUUGCCUCUGAUGGAAGAGCCACCUCUUAUAAUUCUAGUACUGGAAUUCUCAAAUAUCUUCAUAUUCCUCCUAUUCUCAAUAGGGUUGUAGAUUUCCAAGCUCUUAUUUAUGUGAAAAGUAUUGUUUCAUUCAAGUGAGUUGAGUGCAAAGUUCCAUUUCCUCAUAUUUAAUUUGUAUUCAUGAUAUAAGGCUUGCGUUUGCAUCUUUUAAUUUAAUUGCUUUGUGUCCUUUGCACUAUUUUGUAAUGUUAUUCGAUUUGGAAGUGUAUGAAAACUAUUUUCUUUAGAGUUAAUUAAUAAUAACAAUUCACAUUUUUUUGACUCAUUUAACAUAACAAAGUUAAACCUUCCAGCGUAGAAGUGCAAACUUUUAUAAGUAAAAUUCAGGAUUCUAAAAAAAAAUUACGCAAAAUAUUUAUAGCCUUUUAGCCCCUAAUCGUAGUUUGUAAAAUACGGAAUAGCUAUAGUAUGUGAAAGAUACGUACGUAUAUUAUUCGACAACUUUUCUAAACAUUACUUUGAAAAAUUCAGCCACUUUUUUUUUUUAAUUUUAAUAUUUAUGUAUUUAUUUUAAUUAAUUAAAUAAUUAUAUUAAGUUAUACGUGUUGACUAUGUGAAUUAUAUGUAUUAUUAAAAAAAUGUGUGACAAUAACUGGUAUUAAACAUUAAAAAUACGUAUUUACAUGUAUAAAACUUGUAUUGUACGUUUGACUUUUAAAAAAAACGUGCAAUUUAACAAAACAUUAAAAUGUGUAUAGAAAAUAGAAGUAUUUUUUUCAAAAUACGUAAAUUCGUGUAUAAUAUGUGAUUUUACUAACUAUGCCCGUAACCUCUCAUCAAUAAAACAACAAAAAUUAUAAGAAACUAGAUUUCAUGUGAAGUAUCAUUUUGAGCAGCAAGAAGUGACACGCAUUUUAUGAUUUCAUAAUUUUAAAAUCAUCAAGGAAAAUAAUGAGUGUAUCCACCAUGUAGUAUUACUGCACUAAGGUGUGAGAAAACGAAGAAAUGACCCACAUGAAAUGUUUAGCAAUGGACCAAGUCUCCCAUAUCGAAUUGAUUUUUAGAUUAAAACUCAACCCUAAAGCCUUAAUAAGAAAUUGUUGUUGCAAAUAGCAAUAGUUAUAAUUGCCGUUUUAGCCAAAAAUGAUCUAUGAGAUUGAUAUAACUCAUCACUUUAGUCACUAAUAAUGAAAACCGAUAAAACUGGUUCCUGAGUUUAUCCACCACAAAUCAUUUUGGUUCACUCGCAAAAAAUCUAUCAAUAUCCUUGUUAAAUUGUCAUGUGAACAACUACGUGACCACCAUUUUAAGGGUAUUUUUGUCAAAUGGACCACUCGACUUGAUGAGGAUAUUGACGAAUUUUUCAUGGAAAAACUAAAAUGAUUUACAGCGGUCGAACUCAGGGCCACUUCUAUCGAUUUUUAUAAUCAGGGAUUAAAGUGAGGAGCUAUGUCAUUCUCAAGAUCAUUUGGCCAAAAAGCCUUGUAAAUUUCAAAAGUUUUGUGGCGUAUUUUAUACGAGAGAGAGAAAGGGUGCGGCAUCAGUAGAGAGGGGAGAAAUUGUAGAAUGCUUUGCGAUUUUGUGAUUCUCUCUAUGGCAGUGCCUUUAUUUAUAGUAAACCAAGAGGAGAGGAUUAACUUGUCCUCCAAGUAAGUACAAUCCUAUAGGGAAAGAAUCUCUAGAAUAAUGGAUAAUCUAGAAUCCAAAUCUAACUAGAAUUCACUCAGUCACGUACUAAAUAUUCAUAACAUUUCCCCGUGAGUGUGUAAAUACUCAAGUUGAUGUAACAUAAGGUUCGACAAAGUUGGGGAAGUUGCCUCGUCAGUAUUGAUCCAAGAACACAUUAGUCUCAAACAGGGAACUUCCUAUUGAAAAAAGUCUCACAUAAUCCUAUUAUGGUAAAACCCAAUAUGGGCCAAAAAACCAUAUAUAGUAUGAGGAAAAUGGUGAGUUGGAUGCAAAGCCCAUUUAAACACCUACGAGACUUACAUAAGGGUAACACCAGCCCAGGAUAGGUGCCUCGUAAAAGCCUAGUCAGGUAGCAUAAACUCAAAGGAAAAAAUGCUCCUAACUGUAAAGACAAUAGUAAAUUAAGGCCAAGUGAGUAUACUUCGGGAUUGUCUCCCUGAGUUUGACAUAAUUCCAAAAAAGCUAACAAGGUUACAACUCGUAAAGUUUACGCAUACCAAUUCCUUGAACAAGCUUUUGGAAAGUAGACUUCAGUAGUGACUUGGCAGAAAGUAAACUUCAGCAGCGACUUGGUGGAAAGUAGACUUCAGCAGUGAUUUGCUUAACCUCAAAGCUCUUAUGCUCUUGUUGUAGAUGAUAAAAAAAGAAUUUUGGGUCAAUGUGUUUGGUGUUGUCUUCUUUGAUGUAUCCCUUCUUGAGCUAUAUAAUACAUGUUAUGUUAUCUUCAUAGCUUGCUGUAGAGACGUUAACGAUGAAAUAAAGCCUACAGGUACUUCGAAUAUGUUCAAUAACUAUUCUUAACCAAAAGCACUCCUGAUUGGCUUCAUAGAGGGUGAUUAUCUCAACAUGGUUCUUAGUAGGUUGCAACUAAGGUCGGUUUGGUGUGUCUCCGAUGGUAAAUUUGUUAUCCGUUUGAGAACGUGUGUUAUGCGGUUAGACAAGUACCCUGCAUCAGCAUAACCAAUAAGGCAAGAAUUAACCCAAGAACUGAGAAGGCAACAUCUCCACUCAAUAAUUUCUAGGGAUAGAACAACUCAAACCCAUCGUACCUUUGAUGUAGUGGAAGAUGUCUUUAAGACUUGUUUAGUGUCUGCGUGUAGGUUCAUUGUUGUAUCUCAUUAAAAGAUCCAUGGCAAAGGAGAUGUUUGGUCUAGUGCACUGAGCUAUGUAUAAUAAUGUGCCAAUUGUACUAAGGUAAGGAACUUCUGGUUCUAAGCCCUCUUCAUCAUCGUCCUUAGGACAAGAAAAAUCUUGUUUUGCAUCUAGCAUUCGAACAAUCAUAUAGGUACUUGAAAGCUUCACUUUAUCCUUAUUAAAAUGAUGAAACUCUUUCUAAAUGUAGUUCUACUGAUGGAUAAGAAUACCAUUCGAAAAAUGUUUGAUCUCCAGGCUGAGACAGUAUGACGAUUUCCCUAGAUCCUUUAUCUCAAAUUCUGACUUCAAGUGCAUGGCGGUUUUCUUGAGCUCUCCUGGAGUCUUAAUGAGAUUCAUGUCUUUGACAUAAAUUGCAACAAUCGCAAAUUCAGAAUGUGUCUUCUCCAUGAGCACGCUAGGGUGUAGUACGUUGUUCACGUAUCCCGAACUAGUCGAAUACUCACUCAGACAAUUAUACCACAUCCAUCCGGAUUGCUGCAAUUCAUUGAGUAAACGCCUCUAGAAUUAUUUAAUCCAGUCAAUGGAAGUCCUUCUAGAACUUUUAUAUAGAUUUCUGUAUCAAGAUCUCCAUAAAGAUACACAAUUACCACAUCUAUGGGCUACACUAAUAAGUGAUAGGUGAUAGGAAACAUUAUCACAUCCAUGAAUGGUGAAUAAGUGAUAAGAUUUUUACCACCUGCGCAAAAAAGGUUAAAAACACCUGAAAUACUUGCAAGAGAAACAAGAUUAUUGUAGAAUAGUUGGCCUAAGCAAGGUUGUUCUCCACAUGGAUUAUUUUAAAUAAAUUUAUGCGAAACCAAAUCUCAACUAAUUACUUAGAACAAAGUUUUGGAAAAAGGAGAUUUAAUGGCCUAAAUUAAGAAAAAUGAAUUUAAUUAAAAGGGUUAGCAAAAAUCUGCAAUAUUAAAGAAGGGGAGAGAGAGAGAGAGAGAGAGAGAGAGAGAGAGAGAGAGAGAGAGAGAGAGAGAGAGAGAGAGAGAGAGAGAGAGAGAGAGAUAAAGAGAGAGAGAGAAUUUUUGAAAUAAAGUGAGAAUGCACUAGGGUUCCGCCGUCACUUUAACAAUCCUAUGUAGUUCUUUCAAUUACUAUGAAUUACAUAUGCAUAUUUGAAGGUUAGAUUUUUCUAAUAUAUGUCAUACUUGGAACCUCCAACAUUUGACGUAUAUCUAACAUGCAACUCGUUUGUAGCGUCCAGAUUGAAUGUGAAUAUGCAAGACUUAUUACAUUUUGUGAAAACUUGCUUUGAAAGAAAUGAGUAGUUUCUAUAAAAUGCAACCGAGGCAUUGAAGAAAACGACCCUCGACUCAUCUUACAAAAAAAAAACUUUUAAAGGCUCUGCAACCUACUUUCCAAUUAUUCCCUUUGUAGUUCAAACACUCCCUUGUAUUCAUAGCUCUGCUACUCCCCUUUAUAGUAUCAAUUUCAUGUACUAAAUUUCAUUGUCAGACUAAUCCCUAUACCUGUAAGAACUUGCUUGACAUACAUGUGAACUUGCCCGAAUAGGUUUAGUACUAGUUUGGUAUUGAAGUGCUUUUAUAAAAAGUGGGUAUAAAAAAUAGCUGAGCUCAAAACGGAGUUUGGUAAACACUUAAAAAUAGUUUAUUUUCACAAUUUUGAGUGAAAAAAGCUGAAAACGUGAAGCAGCAAAAAAUAAGCUUAUUCUCACAGCACAUCAAAAACAGUUUUUUUUUCAACGCACAACAAUACCAAACCAGCCCUUAAACUUUGCCUGGUUGCUUGUACUUAUCAAUUAAUUUAAAUUUGUUAUCAUUUCACGUUAUUUAGUGUCCUUUUGUUAACAUUUCAUGAGUAUUCGUAAAGCAUUUUUCUUUCAUUUUCAUUUACACUCUACUUUGUUCUCUAUCUUUACUUUUUCUUACAAAGAUUGCAAAAUUGCUUGCAUCAUCUUUGAUCAAUUUGGGCACCUCCACACUAGAUGAUACGACUUUUGAUAGUGGUGGAAGCUCCUCAAUCUUAGGUCUCCAUCUAUUCGCUUCUUAUACCUGACAAGAAUCAAAGAUAGUAGCGAUUUCAGUUAGUUUAGGAUCAUUAGGAUCAUUUUGUGCAUCGUGAUUCAAAAGAAAAAUUUCUAAAUCAUCCUCAAUUCGACUCCUCUCAAACUGUCCAUUCAUUGCAGUCAAAAUAAAAUUUACAACCUUGCAUUCGCCAUCUCCACAUGGUUGCCUAAAAACAUUAAAAAUGUUAACCUCCAUUGUUAUAUUUACAAAACAAAGUUUCGUAAUCCACUCCUACAACUUAUGUUAGCAUCAUAGGUAGCUAAGAAAUGAAAUCCUGAAAUUACAGGAAUGUGAUAUUCAGAGGCUAGAAACAGGUGCAGUAUCUAAAACAAUAAAAUGAAUGGGAUAGUAAAACUUGUCUACUUGGACUAACACAUCCUCAAUAACCCCUCUUAGGGUUUUAAUAGAAUGAUUAGCCAGCUGCAAUUUUACCCGUAUCGGCUUUAAUUGACCAAGACCUAGCUGCAAAUACAGACUAGCACCUAAGUCAAAUAAAGCAUGAUCAACAAAAUUAUUUCCAAUGACACAAGACAAAGUAGGACUUCCCAGGUCUUCGUAUUUUUGGGGGAUUUAUUUUGCAAUGUACUACAUUCACAUAGGCAGCUAAAAACGUAGUUUUCUUCACAUUAUGAUUUCUCUUAUAAUAAAUCUUUCGAAAAUUUAGCAUAAGCAUGAACCUGCUUAAUAGCAUCUAACAAAAGAAUAUUUAUCUUAACUUGCCUAAAAAGCUAAAAAAUAUCAGAGUUAUAAACAGCUUUGUUGAAGGGUUGUAAAGCUUUCGGAAAAUAUAUAGGCACAUGAUAUUCCUUGUCAUUUUCAGAUUCUUUGAGCUUGUCAAGUUUAUCAUUAGUCUUGGUUUUCUCAACCUCCUCAGGUAAAGAUGUUGUGUCAAUUAUUUACCGCUCCUAAGAGUAAUCAUAGACAUAGCAUGCUCAAAUUCGAUCUUAAUUGAAUUAACAUCGUUAGGAUUAGCUUAAGUGUUUGCAGGGAAUUUUCCUUUUUCAUUAACCGACAUAGAGUUUGUUAAUUUUGAAAGUUGACUAAAUAAUGAAUCAAACUUUUGAUCUAAUACUUGAAGGGGAUCUACAUAUGAUUGUUUAUGUUGAAACAAAUUAGAAGCAGAAUAUUGGUGGUUAGGAGCACUUGCCUGAGGGUACAAUGUUGGAAAUAUGCCCUGAAAGUCAAUCUUUGGAAGAAACCUUUCAGGACAAUUGAAUCGAUGUAUGGAUGACUCUUAUACAUCAAAUGGCAAAGAUACUAAUUAGGACUAUCUCAAUAAACGAUAUAUGUCCUAAAUAGUGUAUCCAUGGACAAUGGAUCGAUUGAAGAAGUAAUCUAAUGAUGUUAGACUACAGAGACCUUCUUCACAUAACCAAAUGUCCAAAAAGGUUCCUGGUCAUUGGAUUGUCGGAGGGAUACUGACAAUGCGUAGACCGGUACAUACUGUGUCCGCUUCAAUUGGAAGGAUGGAAAGUCUCAUCCCAUUCGUGUUGUGAUACUAAGACAAGUAUGUAGGUGCUCAUUAAGGGAAUGAGUUCACUGAACACAAUCGAACGAGAGUACUUGCAUGGAGGUCUACUCACAUGUCAAGCAAGUAACUCUAAUGGUUGGAAUAGUGUAAGUAGUCCUUUGACCUGAGGCAUCGUCGUUGUCUUGUGGUUAAGUACUUGAUCUUUGAUUAUGUCAAAAGUCACUCUAUCAGAAUGUCAACGACAUAGUUGGGGUUAAGCCACUUAGUCAUGAAGGCAAGUGUAUGCGCAACAAGGAAUCUCUAAUCCUCGAUAAGAGAGGAAGAAUACUCUAAGAUAUGAUUCGGGAAUCUUUGGCCGAAGUAUCGAGCGUAUUAAAAGGAAAGCGUUCCUAUACGACUCAAAUGAAUCAUAUAAGAAGGAAUAAUCACAUUAGGGGUUUGACAUAAUAUAUCCAUACCCUAAUGAUGUGAUUGAGAGUAUUGUUUUAGAGAAUGAUCGAAUUACAUUGUAAUUCCAACUGAAUAGGUUCUCCGAAUAAACUUCUACAUUAGCUUGGGUAGCUAUGACAUAUGGUUAGAUCUCACUCAUAGCUUGUGAGUUCUUCUAGAUGAUUAAAUGUAGUCGUCAAAGAAGAAAGGUGAAUUAAAAUGAAGUUUGAAUUCACUAAGUGAUUGAAUUAAAUAUAAUCAAUUGGAUUGAUGCCAAUCACCUCACUGCCUUGCUAAUUAGAACCUAAAAGAUUGUUCACCAAUACACUAUUGUAGUGAGUAAUUAAUGGAUGAUGGAAACAAUUAAUUGGAUUAAUUAUGUGUUGUGAUUAAUUUAGAAAGUCUAAAGAAAUCAUAAAAGCGAUAAAGAUCGUUUUGGGCUUAAAGAAACGUUCGGGUUUAAUUGGGCCCAUUAGGCCUAAACCCAUUGGGCUUUUAUUCAAGCAUUGGAUGACUUGAAAUAAAUGAAAGCCCAAAGCCCAAACAACACAAAGAGGGCCGGCCAUUUUAGGUGUGGAAAGGGUGAGAUAUUUAGUCAAGUUGUUGGCUAGGUUUCUUUUGUCUAUAUAAGGAACUUUAUAGAGAUAUUGUUCAUUAGGGUUUUUUGUGUGUUUUUGAACAACAAAGAGGCAAAAGAAAGAUAGCUCUCUAAGACCACAAAGGCCGGCCACCUAGAGGGUGUUUUAGCUAACAAUCUUUCACCCUUUUGGUUAUUCCUUCAUCCUUCUCACUACACUAGUGGGUGAGGAUCUUUAGAGGUUUCCUACUUUGGAAACUUGAAGAGAACCUAGGAGCACUCAUUCUAACAAAGUGGAGGAGGCAAGGAGGGAAGCUAGGCUCAAGGAGUUCAAGGAACAAAGGGCUUGGAGGUGGUCCAUCCUUGGUCUCAAGUCUAGAUCAAGAGGUAUUAGACUAAAGCUUCUCUUUGUUCUUUUCUCUAAAAUUUUAUUUGAUGCAUUAUAUAUAAACCUAUGAACCUUGAAGGGGAUUUGCAUGACUAUAGCUUUGAUAAUUUGUUAUAAAUGCUUCCGCUGCUUUCGUAUAUUAAAUUUGAUUUGUAUAUGCAUGAUAGUCAUUUAGAAAUCCCUUACAUGAAUCUCAUAGAUUUCCCUUCAUACAAGUCAUUCCUCCAAAGUAAAUUUGGGUGAUUUCUAGUUGCCGAAUUGUAUAUCUUUGGGUGAUUUCUAGUAAAAACAAUGCAUGAAGGAGAUGCAACACGAGUUGGAUGCAAUAGUCUUUCAAUGUUCUGGGGGGAGGGUUUUCCUUGCCUCCAAUAACUGCAUGGUCACUAACACUAUCAAAAAGAUCCCCAAACAAUGUUUCAAUUUUAGGUUAUGGACACUUACCAAAUCUGCCACUUUGAUCACGAUAUCACAUGAAAAUUUAAGAACGAAGAAAAAAAAGGUAAAAAUAAAAAUAAGGGUUAAUUUCAGUUUAUUAUCUUGAAGUUUCUUGGUUUUAAAUAUUUCAUACAUCAAGUUUUUUUCGUCCAAGUCUGGUACCUAAAAACAUAAUUCUGGGAUACUUUUAUACAUCCAUUAAGUUUUCCGUCAGAACAUCCGUUAAUUGAUGAUGUGGCACUUAUGUGGAUAAUGAAUUGGCGCUACGUGUCAAUAUGGGCCUAUGUGAAUAUUAAUUUUUUUUUUUUUAAAAAAUGUAAAAUUUAAAAAUUAAUAAAAUUUAAAAUAAAAAGUAAAAAUUUAAAAUCAAUUGGGUCAUCUCGUCUCCCCCCUCCGCACCCAGUGCUCCCCGUUCCUAGAGUCAAAUCCGAAGGUUUCAAGCACCUUCCCAACCUCCUCUCGCCGACAGCAGCCACGAGCGCCUGCAAUGUAUCCACCACUCCAAUAGAUUUGAAAUUUUGCAAUCCACUCCAAUCCAAGAAAAAGAGAUAAAAAGAUUGAACUGUUUCACCUCUGGGACGAAGAUUGUCCGGCCCCGCGAAGGAGGUCCAUCCACUUGUUCUCGGCGAUCAGACCUGACUAAUGCGGAGGAGUUCCAGCGAAGGAAAUUCGAUGCAUGGCUUCCUUGACUCGUGUCGCAUUCUCCGCCUUCAGCGGUGCGUUUAUACGAUUCUCGUCCUUUUCCACUUCUUCCUCAUCUGCUUCGUCAUCGCUGCUGCUAUUUAAGCAACCAUUGCGUCCGACGUCUUAAUUUAGCUGGAGAGACGAGAUUCCUCUCUCGACCUGAUUCACAGUGACGUUGUUGGAUUGCAGCUGAGAGUGGAUCAGGACAGUGCUGUUUCUGAUCUGGUCUCCGUUUUCUUCGGAAUCGACGGCGGAGACUGGGUGGUAGAAAUCGAGGGUGGAGGUUGGGAAGGUACUUAAAACCUUCGGAUUUGAGGAGGAGGAACUUGGCGUCAGGGCUGCUAUUCCGGGAACGGGGGGCACUAGGUGCGGAGGAGGGAGACGUGAGACCCAGAUUGAUUUUCAAUUUUUUUUUAUUAAUUAUUAAUUUUUUAAUUUUUUAAUAUUCACGUGGGCCCAUAUUAACACGUGGCGUCCAGUUAUUGUUCACAUGGGAGCUAUGACAUCAAUUAACAAAGGUUCAGAUGGAAAAUUUAACGGAUGUUGCAUCCAUAAAAUGGAGUUUGAGAUGAUUGCCGUCAUUGACGCUCGAGAAUAUUGGAUGGACAAAAUCAUCGACUACAUACAAAGUGAAAAACUACUAGAGAACAGUAACCUGGCCAGAAAGUUAAUCCAGAAAGUGUCAAGAUUUGGUUCUAAAAAUCCCUGCCUAUGCACUAGGCACCUGGCCACUGCUCGAUUAGUCCUAGGUGUUUGAAAAUUAAGAAAGUCGCCUAGAUCCGCUUAGGCGUCCGCCUAGCUUGCCUAAACCCUCCUUGAUCACGACUCUCACUUAGACAUAGAAUCAAUAACUUUCAUUUUGCAUUUUAUUUUUUAAAUAAAAUUUAAGAGACUUGUUGGAUACUUGAUGAACACUCAUUAUAUGCUUGUUCCUAUGUUUUCAAUAUGUUCUAAUACUUUAUAAUCUAUUUAUCAUUUUAUUUUGUAAUUUUUGUAUACAAUUAUGUGUUUUAAGUUUAAAUAGGCACUUAUUUAUACAACAUAUAAUAAAUUUACUUAAAUCCGCCUAGUCCACCUAGGUGGUAAGUCCGUGCCCACUGCCUGACUAGCGCCUAGCGUUUUUUAGAACCUUGGUCAAGAUAUACAGUCAUCCGUGGAAAACUCUACCGACGCUCCUAUUCUGAACCUUAUACCUUAUGCAUCACUCUAGAUGUUGGCCUACGAAUUCUAAAUGAUAUCCACUCGGGGGUCUGCGACAAUCAUGCUGGAGGAAGGUUGUUGGAUCGAAAAGUGAUAAUUGCAAGCUACUAUUGGCCCACCAUGAAGCAAAAAGCAAUUAGCAUUGCCCAGAAUUGCAAUAACGUCCAAGGUACGCUCCUAUGAACCAUCAACAUGCAGAAGAACUUAAUACUCUAAUAGGUUCAUGGCCUUUCAUGCAAUGGGGCAUCGAUUUAGUAGGACUUCUUAAGAAAACACCAGGGAAUAGGCAAUACCUGAUAAUGGCGAUAGAUUACUUCUCAAAAUGGAUAGAAGUGGAGCCCUUAACAAGAAUCAUUAUUGCAGUUGUAAAGUUCUUCGUUUGAAAAAACAUCAUUUGCAAAUUUGGAAUUCCCUACACAAUAUUGACAGAUAACGGGCUACAGUUCACCAGCUCUGAAGUCACAAAUUGGUACAAAGAGCUAGGACCACCCUACAAAGAGCUCUCAUAUCAGUUCAAGUCACAACUAUGCAGAAUUUGCAUACUGAAGAACGGACCGCCCUAGAAAAUGUAGAGGUCCUGAACACUGAUCUCAACUUUGCGGAUGAGCUUUGAGAAUGCGCUUAAGUCCGACUAGCAGCCUAUUAGCAAUAGAUCCAAUCAUAUUACAACAAGGGCGUCAAACCCAAAAAACUGCAAGUUGGGGACUUGGUAUUGAGAGAAGUUUUUUAGAAUACCAAAAUCUAAAGAAAAGGAAAACUCGAGGCAAACUGGGAAGGACCAUACAAGAUCGCUAAAGUAGGAGUCAACUUAACAUAUCACUUAGAUCACAGGAUGGAACCCUGAUCACCAAGAAAUGGAACAUCACCAUGCUCAAAAAAUAUUAUCCAUGAAUACGCCAUCCGAACUACAUGCGAUUUGAUUAUUUUCUCGAGAUAUGUAGGCAGUUCUUUCCAAACCCAAUCACAAGCCACCGUCUGUACGAAGAAAAGUACAUGGAGAACUCAUAUUCUCACGCUCUGCCAUAAGCUUAUUGUCAAAAGUGACCUCUGGUGAUUUUUUACAUGAUAUCAUCUUUUUCUUAGGACUACACCAGUGAUUUGAUUAUCCAUCCCAGAGAUAUAUAAGCAAUCCUUUUAGAUUCAACCACAUAUCGAUCGAAUUCUACUGUGGAUCAUCAAUAAAGAAAAGUUAUGUGUCUUAAAGGUCUGUUCAUUCAUUUCCUUAUGAUGCAUGAGAGUACCUUACUUAUUCCAAACAGGGCACAAACUUUGAAAACUUUGCACAAAUUCAAGUACAAAAAAGUUCAAAGUAACACUGUCAUAGGAGUAUCUUUUAAACCAGUCCAUUUUGAACGAUUACCAGUUUGGGAGACAAAUUGUAAUAAGGGCAAUAAUAAUUGGAAGGAUGCAGGCAUGGCACAUCACGCAUUGACCUAGAAAUGCAAUGCACCAUCCAGCCUCCAAAAAGUUUAUGCUACCAGCAAGGCUGUAGGUUAUAACAUUUAAACUCGGGCUCUAUUUCAUUCGAGGGAAUAUUCCAAAAAGCGAUCCAAAAAUCAUCCAAGGAUGGCUCAGAACUCCAACCUCGAGUACAACUAGUUCUAUCCCAAACCAGCAUACUAAGCCAAGUAUGUUCUAUGACAUCGUAUGUUAACAGGUUUGAAUGAGGCAUCCAGACUAGGCAAUUCCCAAGAGGAAUUUUAUUCCAAUGGAGCUUUGAUAUGCAAAAAUGGUUUGGGUAAGUCAAGUAAGGUAGUCUGAUUGGAAACACUCAGGUUUGACGCGUUAUAUUUGACAAAAGGAUUCAAAAAGUGUUUCUAAUCCACAUGCUAACAACCAUGUUUCCAACGAACUUUCAUUUAAGAUUCAAUAUAAAUGGACACACAAUCUAAUCUAGGAAGAAAAAUCCCUUCAUGCACUACAUAGCAAUUAAUGAAUCCCUUAGCCCAAGAAAUAAGGGCAAGGUAAAGAAGAUUUCAAUAACUUAUCUAUUGUAGGAUAUUUCAGAUAUGGCAUAAUCGUCUCAAAUCUGAUAAAUGCAUAAAUGAGCUCAGAUCGGAGGGUUCCUCAAAGGUUUAAAGUUUAAUUCCUAGUACCGAAGUAAGGUGGUAUUCCGGCUAACGUGAUGAGAAUCCUUUACAGAUGCAAAGUUUGGGAAGAAAAGUUUCUCUGAAUCAACGUUAACAAGGGGGUCUUAAAACUUUGUCUGGUGCCCACAGACCUAUUCCCAUUCUACUCUGUAAAUUAUUUUAUUCCUUAAAGUUUGUUUACUUUGAAAACACUUAUCAGAUUAGAAAUUCUUCAUGAAAAAGAUACACAAGACAAGAAUAUCCUUACAUAAACGCAUGUUUAUUAUCAAAGUCACAAAGGAGAUCAAAUUAGUACAAUAGUUUGGUGUACACAAAUGCAUGUUUAUUAUCAAAGCCACAAAAACAUCCCAUCAUCUUAAAUGAAUUGGACUCCAGUGCAAAUUAUGCACUACAUGUCCAGUGAGGAAGAAGGUUGGGGAUGGGCACUCUAGUGUGAUUUCAACACUUAAACCACAUGAGUGCCACAUAGGCGAAUGUUUGAACGAAGAACCAUCACCAUCACCAUUAGUGAGCAACAGAUGAGGAAAAAAGCGGUGAUGAAGGACCCCCCAACGAAUCUUUGUACUUCAUGUAGAUCCUAUCCUUCGUCAGAGACUGCAUGGAGAGUGCUACAAGGGGAUGAAUGUUAAAGAACGAGUUACAGGAAGUGGGCAUAUUAGAGAACGAGUUGCAAGAAGCAACAAGGCAUUCCUGAGAACGUGGUGAAAUUACUAUACACAACAUGGCUUUCUGGGAUUAGAAUUUUCUUCAAUGAAAAACCAAGAGGAAAACUGGGAUUGGAGAGGCAGUUUAAGGUGAAAACAGGUUUUAUGGCACAAAAGAUAGAAAAAUGAAGGGAACAGCGACCUAAGGGGGCUAUUUAAACCAUUGAAAAUGAAGAGUCACCAACCUAGAGAUCGAUCUGGGAGAGAAUCAAGGCUAAUCAAUGAGAAGUAUGCAUGCAAAACAGAGCCAUGCAUCAUCAUGAUGGUUAAAUUCAGAUGGAUGCAUGAUGAAAACCAAGAAUGACUCAAUUACCCCUUUUAAUGAAUAGGACUAGCUCGCAACGGUACAUAUUUCAGCUUACUCCGAAAGGCAUGGUGUUUGGAUAACAAUCCAUCCUUAAGGGGAAUGAGUUGCAUCUCAGGCAAACACUUAAGAGCAAUUGUGGGACCAUGAUUUUCCAGGGCCAGAGUAAGGCUGAUCCAAAUACAGUUACUUCAGAAGUCCGGUCAUGAACUAACCAGUUCCAGGAAGAGUUGUACCAUAUAAAGUAGAGGUGACACCAUACCUUUACCUUGAGGCAAUAAGCUGAGUCCUAGGAACUUCACUAGAUAACCAUGCUUGUUUCGUAAAACAUGCGAUCUGAUCAAGAUAUGAACACAAUCAGAUACUAUAAGUCUUGGAGUUUUUACAAUCUCGAAAUUAGCAUGCACCACAAGUAGUCACAACUCCUAAGAGGGUGCAAUAUCUACUUCUAGAUAUCCUCUAGGAUUCUCCUGGCUUAGAAUAAUGAUUUAUCUUAAAAAGGUCUUCCUCCCCACGAUAUAAACACACCCAUCUAGGGUUCAUCUCUGGUAACACAAUCUAAACAAUUUAAUUCUCUUGCCCAUUGCUUGAGUCUAAAAUCAUUCACUAACUUGACUUUGGCAACAUGAUCAAUAGGUCAAAGAAGAAACUUCUCUGCUACUUUAAUUCGAGGCCUUUCUCCUAUACGUUGGAGAAACAAUGUCAGGUAAAAGUAUAUCAUUUUUAAAUUGUAAUACAUAUUAAUUUCUAUUAGGAUUAAUAACAAAUUUUUUAGGGUAAAUUACAAAAAACUACCUCAACUAUUGGUGUCACAACACUUUCAUACCUCAUCUUUUAAAAUUGACAAUGUCAUACCUCAUCUUACGAAUUUGUGCCAAUGUUAUACCUUCCGUUGGCUUGACAUGAAUUUCUCAGUUAAAUGCUGACAUGACUUGAUCCAGGACCCAUUUUCUAUUAAAAAAUUAUUAAAAACUAAAAAAAUCAUUUAAUAUUUUUUAAAUAUUAAAAUAAUAGAGAAAAGUAAAAAAAAAAAAAAAAAACAACCAACACUUAGUUCGUCCCCUUCCCCCCUUCUCUCUCUUCUCCCCAUCUUCUUCUUCUUCCCCUUUCUUGCAACUGCAACCCAGAAAAAAGAAGAGAAAAAAAAAACCACUUUGUCUUCCCCGCUCUCACCCCCACCUGCUCUUCUCCUCGCACCCACUCUCCGCACCCAACCUCCCCACCUUCGCACCCACCCUGUGCACCCAACCUCGCACCCAUUACUUGCAACCCAAAAAAUAAUAAAAUAAAAACCCAGAUCCCGUUGAGGUGGAAUCGGGAAACCUUCGCCAGGUCGAUUCCGAAGGUUGAGAACCUGGGCGCGGAGAAAAUGGGGGGAAUGAGUGUGGAGGGAAGAUGGUGGGUGCCGAGGGGGGGGAUGGACGAAGUGGGUUUCCUUUUUUUUUUUUUUUCCUUCUUCUUCUUCCUCUUUCUCCUUCUUUCUGGGUUUAUGGUUUUUUUUUGGGGGGGGGGGGGUUGUGGUUUGUUUUCUUUUCUUUUCUUCUUCUUCCUCCUCCUUCUUUUUGGGUUGCAGGAGGUUGGGUUUGUGGUGGGGGGAGGGGGGGUGAACUGGGUUGGGUUGGGUUUUUUUUUUUUUUUUUUUUUUUCCUUCUUCUUCCUCAUUCUUCUUUCUGGGUUUGUUGGGGGGGGGGGACAAAAUGGGUUGGGUUGGGGAUUUUUUUUUCCUCCUUUCUGGGUUGCGGGAAGAUGGGGAAAAGAGCAGGGGGAGGGACGGACUGACCUGAGGUUUUUUUUUAUUUACUUUUCUUUAUUAUUUUAAUAACUAAAAAAUAUUAAAUAAUUUUUUUUAGUUUUUAAUAAUUUUUAAUAGAAAGUGGGGUCCGAAUCAAGCCAUGUCAGCAUUUAAUUGAAACAUUCGCAGGCAAGUAACGGAAGGUAUAACAUUGACACAAAUUCAUAAGACGAGGUAUGACAUUGUUAAUUUUAAAAGAUGAGGUAUGAAAGUGUCAUGAUACCAAUAGUUGAGGUAGUUUUUUGUCAUUUACCCAUUUUUUAACUUUUUCUUUAGGAGGGUCUAAGUUCCUGAAUACCGACAUGUUCAAGGAAGUUUAUGUUCAACCCGACAAUUAGACAACUGAGCAGUUGCAUGUAAGUUUAUGUAAUUGUUAUUAUUCUUACGUAUAUAAAUAUUAAAAUAUUAAUAUAUUUUUCUUAUUACAUUCUACUAUGGUGGAGAAGCAUCACAACUUUCCUCGGACACCCCUAUCGAGGACGUGAUUCUGACCGAGGAUGCGAGUCUUAAGAUCAUGGCUGAGACUCUGGAUCAUCAGACACUCGGUUGUAGAAUGCUCGACACCAUGAUACUGCGGCCUCCUCUUCUUCCGAUCAGAUCUUGGGACAGGUUGCCACGUUGACGACACAAGUUAAUGACCUGAAGCAGUAGCUUGUGGUCCAAGGCCAUCAGAUGUCCCAAAUCUUACAUACCCUCCAAUUGUCCGGCUUUCAGUUUUCCAUGCCAUCCUCAGCUUCCUAGCUAGCUCAGUUAUCAGGUUCCCAGCAGCACAUACCCAGCCAUUCGACUCAACAUACCCCGACCACUGGCUUUUAAUGUAUUUUAUUUUUUGGUAUUAGGAUUUUUUUUUUCUUGUACGGACAUUUUAAUAUAUAACAUAAAUAAUAAUGAAUCUAAUUAUUCUUUUUGUGUUUUAAAUUAAUUAAAAUACGUAAUUUAACAACAAAUUUAAUUAAUCUGUAAUUUAAUAAAGAUUAUUUAAAAAAUUUCGCACAACGAACAACGUUCGUCACCUAAGAUUUAAAGCUUGGAAAUCUUUCGUCGCAAGAAAGUUGGAACCACGACGUAUUUAUAAAUAAAUAAAAAAUAAAAAUACUUGAAAACCGAAUAUGAUAGGACAAAUUUGUUGCAUCCCUUUAUCCGACGAAGCCCCGUCCCCGCGCAAUGUGUUACCUAAAGAAUCCUUGUCAUCGACUAAAGUUAAACAUGAUGAUGCUCUAUCAUAACCUUAAACUUUACGUGACGACAUUCCUUCUUCCCUUAAACUUUAGCACGAAGAGUGCCUUUGUCGCUACUUCACGCCGUGAAAAGGUCUUCCGCAACAAAGUUUUCUCCUUUUUUCGCGCAAUUGUUUGCUUCUCAACCUUUGUGUGAUGAGUUCUAGGUGAUGAAGGUUUCGUCACCCCAAAUUUAGCACGACGGCUUUGCACGACGAACUUCGCGAAAGAUGUUUUCUGUAGUAGGGAACGCAAAAGUUAGAGGUCAGAUUAAUGAAGUUAAAUAGGCCUCAUUUGGUAUAGAGGAUAGUAUUGGAUAUGAAUGGGUACAAUUUUUAACGUUUGUUGAUGGAAGAAAUAAAAAAUUCAACUUGCAGGUAGAAGAUGGAUUAUUUAGUCGAAAACUUAUCAAUUCCAAUCCCUUUCAAAAUAGUCGGACUAGAAAGGGAGGAUUUUUUUCACGUCUAGUCCCCUCAAAGUGAAAAUUCAUUUUCCUCUACCCUAAUAUGGCUUGAAUUUAAAGGGUUCUCAAUUCUAAUUCAAUCCUAAUGUCCAAAUGAUAACCUAAACUACCAUAGAACUCCAAUGCUGCUUCUCUUCUUGAUGCUUCUAUGAAACUUCUUCUAAAUCUCACAUUUUCUCUUAGUCAAUCUCCCAAAUCCUAUUUUAGUUAUUCUGUCGGAACAUGUAUCCAAUCUUAUUUAACCCUCUCAGAGUCUGCAUGUAUGUGUUAAAAAUGGCUUUCGAGACAUUCCCAAUAGUUUUCCACCUGGGCCACAAAUUUUUAAAACCAAGUUUAAGAUUCAAUUUUAGACCUUCCCAAACCGUGGACUCAUCACCAACAUAGCGUGUAAUCUUCAUAUAACUUAAGCAAAUGUCUUCACACUUAACAACAAUUACAUUUACCAUGAUCAGAAUUCUAAAACAAAGAUUUGAGCUUGGUGAUGUUGUAGUUUGCUGCUCAAGCCUCCAGAGAUGUUGAAUUGUGCAUGAGAAUAUUUAUGCACCUUACUCAUUUAAUGAGGGCAUUUUUGUUUUCUUUAGAAAAAUUAGAAAAAGUCCAAAUGCCGUCUCCAAAACUUUUAGGAUAUUUCUGCCCCCGCCCACACAAACAAUCAGCACAAUAUUUAUGCCCCGCCAAAGGUAUCCAGUAUUAAGAGCGGGCCUAGCUAGUACUGCUACUUAUAUAUACAGUACGGUCACUUGAAUACCUCCAGAUGGAUUUGGAUCCUCUCCUAAGCUAAUGGAGAUGAUCCUCCUGACCACUUAUCAUGGGCCGUUGGAUUUUUAUCCAACAGCUAUAAACAGGGGGUCCCUUUAAAGUUAUAAUAAUUAUAGUUGUUGGAUAAUCCAACGGCUCAUGAUAACUGGUCAGGAGGAUCCUCUCCAUUAGCUCAGGAGAGGAUCCAAAUCCCCUCUAGAUGACCAUUUUCAUAUAUAUUAAAUUAGUUGUGAGUUUUAAAUAAACACAACUUCUCACCUAAGUUUAUCCAACCACUUAGGUUUUUUUUAUUUUUUUUAUUUUUAUUUUUAAUUGCGUCAAAAGACAAGAAGAGUUUUAAUCAAAACCAACAUUUUGGUUUCUAUUGAAUAAUACAGAAGAGAAAAAAAGAUGUUGGUCCAUAGUGAAGUUCAGAAAUUGGGGGUGUAAUUAAAAAUUGGGGUAAACUUAGAUGAAAAGUGGUCAUGUGAUUGUAUUUUUAAUGAAAUUUUGUUUACUUGAUUAACUAAAACUCUUGUAUGAAUAUGCGAAUUUUCUUUUCUUAGUUAAUUAAAAUUAUGUGAUGUUACAUGUGGGCCCAUUUAGGGGUAUCAUGUGAAUUUUUCUUCCCUAGUUAAUCUAAUGUAGAAUUAAAAUGUAAUGCCCGAAUGGUUAUUUUUGUAUCAAUAAAAAAAAUUAAAAAUAGAAAAAUUUGAACAUAUGAUUCUCCAUAAAACUCGAAACUAAAUGGAUCACCCCUGUUUUCUUUGGAAAACUCAGAAAAACGCCGACUGUGGAUCGCCCAUGUUUUCUUUGAUAGCUAUAUACGUUGUGGUUAUGGAACUCCAAGUUUAUUUAGUACUAUUGGAUUUUGGCAUCUUAUGUGGUGAUAUGUUUAAUAAUCGAACAUUGAUCUACCAGGCCUUAGGGACUAAGGGUUUAAUUUAGUUUGUCACUCAAACUGGUGUUCUUUCCUGUGUAUGUAAAUAUAUAUAUAUAUAUAUAUAUAUAUAUAUAUACGUGUGAAGAAUUCUAGUGAAGCAAAACUGCCAAAAUGUCCCAGGUGCACGAAAAUGAAACUCCUGAAGAUAAGGUGGUCGAAAUCCUGUCCAGGUUGCCGCCUAAGUCUCUGAUGAGAUUAAAAUGCAUACGCAAGUCUUGGUGCACUCUCAUCAAGAGUCCAAGUUUUGUGGCCAAACACCUCAGCAAUUCCAUGGACAAUAACCUCUCCUCCUCAACUUCUAUCCUUCUCAAUCGGUCUCAGGCUCACAUUUUCCCGGACGAGAGUUGGAAAUAUGAAAUUUUAUGGUCCAUGAUUAAUCUUCCCAUUGAUAGUGAUAAGCACAACCUUCAUUAUGAUGUUGAGGACCUAAACAUUCCGUUUCCAAUGGAAGGUCAUCACCCCGUACUGAUUCACGGUUAUUGCAAUGGGAUUGUCUAUAUGUAAUAACAGGGAAAAAUGUUGUUUUAUGCAAUCCUGGAAUUAGGGAAUUCAGGCAACUUCCCGACUCAUGCCUUCUUCUACCCCAUCCCAAGGGAAAAUUCGAAUUGGAAACAACCUUUCAAGCAAUGGGAUUUGGCUAUGAUUGCAAAGCUAAACAAUACAAGGUUGUGAGAAUUAUAGAAAAUUGCGAGUAUUCAGAUGAUGAGCAAACAUAUUAUCAUCGAAUUGCUCUUCCUCACACGGCUGAGGUGUUGAAGAAGUGGCCAAGUGGCUAUUAAACAAAUCAAAAGGAAAAAAGACAACAUGAUGAUGUCCCUUCCAUGUUUUGGGGAGGAAAACAUGGAACCUUGUCUAAAGUCCUUUUGUUUUUAUUUGGCCUAUGGAAAGCCACGGCUGAGGUUUUGAAUGAUAAGUAAUUGCUGUUUUUGAUGAAGAGAAGUAAUGCAACCAUAGAAGAGAAAAAAACGCAGCAGAAAAUAGAGAGCAAAAACAGAGGUGUUGCAGCCCCAUUUUCAAGAGAAGAAAGAAAGGUGAUUUUCUUUCUUUGUUGGUACUCACUCAAUCAAAGUUGUAUUUGUGUAUUAGCUUUGAGUUUUGUAUAGAGAGGAAAUUAUUCACUAUAUUUCUCUCUCUAUUUGUUUCUUUGGUGAGUGAGAGUUAUUGGGUGUAUUGGGGUUUUGGGUUGUGAGAUUGCCAACACUUUAUAAACUCCCAUGUGGUUGAUAGUGGAUUAUUGGGUGAGCUCCUACUGCUCCGAGGACGUACUCCAGUUACACUGACUGUUGAGGAACCUCGUUAAAAUCUUAGUGUCUUUAAUAUUUUGUUCUUGCAUUUCAUUUGAUAUAUUUUCUGUGGGUUACCAAGAGUUGGUUCCAUAAGGUUUGGUGCUAUCCUAGCACAACAAUUGGUAUCAGAGCACUGGUUGCUCUUGGGUACUGUCUAGUUGCCAAAGAUGUCAGACGGGCAAGAUGAGAAUCCUUUUGGAAGCAGCUCCAGGUUUGCAAGAACUACGGUGCAAAAUGCAAAGUUCGAAGUGGAAAAGUUUGAUGGCACAAACAACUUCAGGAUGUGGCAAUGUGAGGUCAAAGAUGUGUUGGCUCAACAAGAUCUACUUGCCGCUUUGGGAGAGAAGCCAGAAGCUAUGUCGAAGCCGGAAUGGGAGAAAUUAAAUUUGUGGGCUUGCUCUUCAAUUCGGUUGUGCCUUGCAAAAACUCAGAAGUAUUUUGUGAUGCGGGAGACAUUAGCAAGUGUGUUGUGGCAAAAAUUGGAAGACAAGUAUAUGACGAAGAGUGCAGAGAACCGGCUACACUUGAAGAAAAAGCUCUACCGCUUCCAAUACAAAGAAGGUACAAAAAUGAUUAGACACCUUGAUGCUUUUAAUAAGUUGAUUGCCGACUUGUUAAAUUUAGAUGAGGAUAUUAAGGAUGAAGACAAGGCCUUAAUAUUGUUGAAUUCCUUGCCGGACUCUUAUGAGCAUUUUGUUACCACUAUUAUGCAUGGUAAAGAAACUGUGAAAUUUGAAGAUGUGUCAAAUGCCUUGAUGAAUUAUGAAAUGAGGCAUAGAGACAAAAAUCAUGAUAGUACCUCUGAAGCUUUAUUUGUUAGAGGUAGAUCAUCGGAGAGAAGAUCAUCUUCUAGCAGGAAAAAAUCACAGUCUCGACCUAGAGGAAACUCUAAAGGUAGAAAACCUUUGGAAAGGGAUGAAUGUGCCUUUUGUCGUAAUAAGGGCCAUUGGAAGAAAGAUUGUCCUAAGUUGAAGACCAAAGGAAAAGAAAGUUCUGAAACCAAUGUUGCUGAGGUUGAAACAGAUUUUGUUGAUUUUGCUUUAACCACUUCCUCAUCAUUUGAUUGUGCUACUAAAUGGGUGUUGGAUACGGGUUGUACUCAUCAUAUGACUCCUCACGAGAAUUGGUUUUCAAGCUUGAAAGAGUUUGAUGGUGGAGUUGUGUUCAUGAGAGAUGACAAUCCUUGCACAACAAAAGGGAUUGGUACAGUUCGUUUGAAGUUGCAUGAUGGCAUGGUUAAAGAGUUGACAGGUCUUCGGUAUGUACCGAAUUUGAAGAAAAAUCUUAUUUCUUUGGGUACUUUGGAAUCCAAGGGUUUCAGGUUUCAUUCAGAUGGACAGACAUUGAAAGUUACUUAUGGUGCACUUGUUGUGAUGAAAGCUCCUAGAUGUGGCCAUUUGUAUUUAUAGCAGGGAAGCACUGUGACAAGUGAAGCAUCUGUAGUCUCUGAAAAUAUGGGCACAUCUGAUUCAGAUACUACUAGAUUGUGGCAUAUGAGAUUAGGCCAUGCCGGUGAGAAAGCUCUACAAGGGCUUGUGAAAAAAGGUAUUCUAAAAGGUGCCACGACUUGUAAGCUUGAUUUCUGCGAGCAUUGUGUCUUGGGGAAGCAAACUAGAGUGAAGUUUGGUACUGCUGUACAUCAGACGAAUGGCAUUCUUGAUUAUGUGCAUUCGGAUGUUUGGGGUCCUACAAAGACUCCCUCUUUGAGUGGUAGACAUUGGUUCGUGACCUUUGUUGAUGAUUAUUCAAGAAGGUCUUGGGUUUACACUAUGAAGCACAAGAGUGAGGUAUUGAGCAUUUUCUUGAGUUGGAAGAAAAUGGUUGAGAACCAGACUGGGAGAAAGAUUAAGAUUUUGAGAUCGGAUAAUGGUGGUGAAUACACAUCUGACCCUUUCUUUAAAGUUUGCAAAGAGGAAGGAAUUGUGAGACAUUUUAGUGUUCGGGGAACUCCAUAACAAAAUGGAGUUGCAGAAAGAUUGAAUCGAACCUUGCUUGAGAAGGUUAGAUGUAUGUUGUCUCAGUCGGGUUUAAGCAAGUCAUUUUGGGCAGAAGCAGUUAAUUAUGCAUGUCACAUCAUCAACCGGUUACCCUCAACUGCUGUUCAGGGUAAGACACCAAUGGAGGUAUGGACUGGAAAACCUUCUUCUGAUUAUGACUAUAUCCGUAUUUUUGGUUCACCUGCUUAUUUUCGUGUGACUGAAAAUAAACUUGAUCCAAGAGCCAAAAAGGCUAUCUUUCUUGGUUUUAGUAGUGGUGUCAAAGGUUACAGGUUGUGGUGCCCAGAGAUGAAAAAACUUGUAAUCAGCAGAGAUGUGACAUUUGAUGAAGAAAGUAUGUACAAAGUCUCUGAGAAGAAUGUGAAAGAUGUCCAACAGGUGGAGCUUGAGAAAGUUACCUCUGGUACUUCAAAUCCUAUUUCCGCUGAUGUCGAAGCCACUACAAGUGAAAAAGUUGGAGACCAUGAGGAUGUUGAAGAAGUUGAACUUGAAGAUUCUAUUCAAGUUGAAGAGGAAGUUUCACCUCAAGAGUCUAUUGCCAAGAACAGAGGAAAGAGACAAAUUACCAAGCCAUCUCGGUAUAGUGACUAUGUUUCUUUUGCUCUUCCUAUUAUCACUGAUGAGAUUCCAUCCAAUUUUGAGGAAGCUAUUGAGAGUGAAGAAAAUGAGAGGUGGUGCAAUGCCAUGGGUGAUGAGAUGAAUUCUCUCUUGAAGAACAAGACUUGGGAGUUAGCUAAAUUGCCUAAGGGCAAGAAAGCUAUCGGUUGCAAAUGGGUGUAUGCCAAGAAGGAAGAUGUUGAUGAGAAAAGCAAUGUGAGAUUCAAAGCAAGAUUAGUUGCUAAAGGGUAUGCACAAAAGGAGGGCAUUGACUACAAUGAAAUCUUUUCUCCGGUUGUGAAACACUCCUCAAUUCGCAUUAUGUUAGCUCUUGUUGCAUAGUAUGAUCUUGAGCUUGUGCAACUUGAUGUGAAAACGGCUUUCCUACAUGGUGAUUUGAAUGAAGAGAUUUAUAUGUGUCAACCGGAUGGGUAUAUAGUGAAAGGGAAGGAGAAUUUGUUUUGCAAAUUGAAGAAAUCACUUUAUGGCUUGAAGCAAUCUCCAAGGCAAUGGUAUUUGAGGUUUGAUAAAUUUAUGAGAGGCCAAAAUUAUUCUAGAAGUCAAUAUGAUCAUUGUGUGUACUUCAAGAAGUUGCAAGAUGGGUCUUUCAUUUAUUUGUUGAUAUAUGUUGAUGAUAUGUUGAUUGCCUCAAAAAUGUUGAAGAGAUUGAAAAAUUGAAGAAGCAAAUGAAGAAUGAGUUUGAGAUGAAGGAUCUUGGUGAAGCGAAGAAGAUCUUUGGCAUGGAGAUCACUAGAGAUAGAGAGAAGGGUUUGGUCAGUUUGAAUAAAAAACAAUACCUUGAGAAGUUGAUUCGGAAGUUUGGAGUUCAUGAUUCAACCAAACCGGUUAGUACUCCUUUAGCUCCUCAUUUUAAAUUGAGUUCUCUACAGUGUCCUAAAAUUGAUAAAGAGAAGCUGCAAAUGAAAAAUAUACCAUAUGCAAAUUUGGUUGGUAGUUUGAUGUAUGCAAUGGUAUGCUCUAGACCAGAUAUUGCUCAUGCAGUUGGCAUGGUGAGUCGAUAUAUGCAUAAUCCAGGUAAAGAGCAUUGGCAAGCAGCUAAGUGGAUAUUGAGAUAUCUCCAUGGUACUCGAGAUGUUGAUUUAUGCUUUGAGAAGGAUGACUCUGGUAUUGGUCAUUUUGCAGUUGGUUAUGUUGAUUCAGAUUAUGCAGGUGAUCUGGAUGGAAGGAAGUCUACUACAGGCUAUGUGUUUACUAUGGCUAAAGGGCCAGUUUGUUGGAGGUCCAUUUUGCAGUCGUCUGUUGCCUUGUCUACUACAGAGGCUGAAUAUAUGGCAGUUGCUGAAGCUAUAAAGGAGGCCAUUUGGAUAUAUGGGCUGAUUAGAGAUUUGGGGGUUGAUCAGAAGCAGGUGGAGGUACAUUGUGAUAGUCAAAGUGCCAUUUAUUUGGCUAAGUAUCAGGUUCAUCAUGUGAGGACCAAGCACAUAGAUGUGCGUUAUCACUUUGUUCGUGAAAUUGUUGGUGAUGGGGAAAUCAUUCUCCAGAAGAUUCCAACUAAAGACAACCCUGCUGAUAUGUUGACUAAGGUUGUUGGUGUCGCCAAGUUUGUUCAUUGCUUGAACUUGGCUCACAUUUUGCCUAUAUAAAGAAGGCGUUGAGCAGUAGGAGUUUUUGGAGCAUUUGGCUCGGCAUGAGUUGUUCUCUUGCUAGUGUUUGGGAGUGAUGUUGUGUGUUAAUUGUGUUGGUUGGCUUAUCAUGGCGUUUUUCGGAACUUGACCAAGGUGGAGAUUGUUGAAUAAGUGGCUAAGUGGCUAUUAAACAAAUCAAAAGGAAAAAAGACAACAUGAUGAUGUCCCUUCCAUGUUUUGGGGAGGAAAACAUAGAACAUUGUCUAAAGUCCUUUUGUUUUUAUUUGGCCUAUGGAAAGCCACGGCUGAGGUUUUGAAUGAUAAGUAAUUGCUGUUUUUGAUGAAGAGAAGUAAUGCAACCAUAGAAGAGAAAAAAAUGCAGCAGAAAAUAGAGAGCAAAAACAGAGGUGCUGCAGCCCCAUUUUCAAGAGAAGAAAGAAAGGUGAUUUUCUUUCUUUGUUGGUACUCACUCAAUCAAAGUUGUAUUUGUGUAUUAGCUUUGAGCUUUGUAUAGAGAGGAAAUUAUUCACUAUAUUUCCCUCUCUAUUUGUUUCUUUGGUGAGUGAGAGUUAUUGGGUGUAUUGGGGUUUUGGGUUGUGAGAUUGCCAACACUUUGUAAACUCCCAUGUGGUUGAUAGUGGAUUAUUGGGUGAGCUCCUACUGCUUCGAGGACGUACUCCAGUUACAUUGACUGUUGAGGAACCUCGUUAAAAUCUUGGUGUCUUUAAUAUUUUGUUCUUGCAUUUCAUUUGAUAUAUUUUCUGUGGGUUACCAAGAGUUGGUUCCAUAAGGUUUGGUGCUAUCCUAGCACAACAUGAGGUAUAUACCAUGGCUUCUAACUCUUGGAAAGAGAUCAAGAUUGAUAUAUCUAGUAAAACUUAUUCCUGGUCUUGUUCAGUGUACUUGAAGGGAUUUCUUUAUUUGUAUGCAACGGAUGGCAAGGAAUACAUACUUUCAUUUGAUUUAGGUAAUGAGAUAUUUUAUAUAAUACAAUUCCCUACUAGUAGAGAAUCCGGGUUUAGUUUUGAAUAUAUUUUUCUUCGUAAUGAAUCCCUUGUUUCCUUUUGCUCUCGUUUUGAUCCAAGUGAAGAUUCUCAAUCAUGUGAAAUAUGGGUAAUGGACGACUAUGAUGGAGUUAAGAGUUCAUGGACAAAACUCCUAACCGUUGGACCCUUACAAGGUAUUAAGGAACCAUUGACAUUUUGGAAAAGUGACGAGCUUCUUAUGCUUGCCUCCGAUGGAAGAGCCACCUCUUAUAAUUGUAGUACCCGUAAUCUCAAGUAUAUACAUAUUCCUCUUACUGUCAGUGAGGUUAUAGAUUUCGAAGCUCUUAUUUAUGUGGAAACUAUUGUUCCAAUCAAGUAAGUUGAGGACAAAGUUCCAUUGUCCCCUAUUUAAUUUGGAUGCAUGGUAUAACACUUUAGUUUCCUUGGAAAAACUUGUACAUCGGAGAGGAUCCGAGCUCGAGUAUCCAAACAAGGACUAAUCCUCUGACAAACAUCUCACGACAAUUGGAGAAGAGGGAAUGAACCGAGUUACAAGGACUUAAUUUUGAAGAAAGAAGGCUUCUAUAAAAGGCGGCGGGAUUAGAUAAAGAGACGCUCAACGCAAAUCAAAAGACUUCUUUAGAGCUUCGCUGCUUACUUUUCAAACAUUCCCUUUGUAACUAAGACAUUCUCUUGUAUUUAUAGUUUGCUACUUUCCUUUUGAUUUAUUGAUUUUCUUUGUUUUUUUUUUUUUUAAAAAGCCCUUUGUUAGUGCAUUGCCCACAGCUGCAAGAACUUGCCCGACUAGGUAAAAAACUUGCUCGAUGGCUCGUAUUUGUUACUUACUUUCUCGCUAUUGUCUUUAUGUUUCGCUUAGUUAUCAAUGUUUCUUGAAUAUAUUUGCUGAUAUAUCCCUUUGUUUAUUCAUUUUUCUUUACUCUUCUGCAUUCCCCCCUUACUCAAAGGUUGUUCACUGGCUCAAAAUCUCUUUUUGAUCAGUUUGUGAUCCUUGUCUUGCUUUUUUCUUUUUCUUUUUUUUUUUUGGGAAUUUAACACAAGAAAAUUAAACUCCUUGUCGUCAAGGUAUAUAAAAGAAUCUAAGUACGGAUUUAACUCCUCCAGGAUAUCAUUCCUUUAAGAAGAAGGCCAGUUCCUUGCGGCCCAGGCAUAUGGCACACUAAACAACUUAAAAAACAAAAAAAAAACAAAAAACAAUCUGUUGAUCUUGGCCAACAAUAACAUGCCUAAACAAAAUCAUUGUUUCUACUGCUGUGCGGAAGUGUCAAAUAUGAAACCAACAAGUUAAUAUGGCAAAAUAUGACAAGGCAAAUAAUCCAAAUGACACAAGGAUUUAUACUGGUUCGGCGUAAGCCUACGUCCAGUUCAGAGACGGCGAGGAAAUUCCACUAAUAUCAAAAUGAAGAUUACAAAUAGAGUUGAACUCUCAAACCCAAUAUCCCAUAUACACCCAAUAGCUCUCACUCAAACAAAGAACAAAUGGAGAAGAAGAAACACAUAUCAAAUUCUUCUCUCCCAAAAGCCAUAAAAUGUAGCAAAAUAUCUUAGAAUGAAUGAUGGCACAAAUGGAGGAUAGAAAACAGCAACCCACCUCUUCUUCACUCUGAUCUGCCGUUCCCAACCCCCAAAACCAAAGGCAUAACCAAAUGCCUUAAUAUAAACAAAAGGAACAAACAUCAUAAUUGCCACUCAUGUGGCCACAUCAUAAAGGAAAACCUCCUAAUGAUAUUCCCACAUCAUUAUGUCCUUCAUUCUUUUGGUUUGUUUAAUAGCCGAAAGGAGAGUUGGCUUGUUGUCCACUUGGCCACUAAUUUGGCCACUAUCCAACAAUCUCCACCUUGGCCAAAUUCCGAAAACAUCACAGAGAAUCGAAUCAACAAUCACUAUAAGCACCCAGAGUACAAACUAAAAACAACGGGAACUAAAUCAAAUUCCCCAAACUCUUGGUACUCAUAAUGAUCUCCACCUCGACUCAAAUUGUACCAAAGCCAACAAAAGUAGACCAUUUCUCUACCGUCUUCUCCAAAUUUGCAAACCAUAAGUGCCUUGAUCAAAACAAAGGUGAUUCAAACGAAGAACUAAAAUUCUUCAAUAUCACCAACAAAAGAUCAAGCACACCAUACCAAAAUUGGACACACAACGAACUCCACCUGCUCACAAACACCAUGGUCUUAAACUGCACCAAUAGACUCAUUCACAUAGCAUGGCACAUUCUCCAAGUCAAAACUGAUUACAAAAUUUGGCAACAAGGUUUAACAUGCCACAUACAAAACCUUUCACCUAAAUUCAGAUCCUAUGAAUAUCAAUAUUAUGCCCUUCACUCAAGUUUAUCAUCAUCACAUGAGCACCAAUAUGAUAACCAAAUAUUUCAAAUUCAAAUAAUCAGUAGGAGAUCCAAGACGAUACCUUGACUGGAGUCUUCAACAAAGCAUAUUUCAGAUGCUAGAGACCAACAAACCAAAUAGCAGUAGCAAACAAAUCUAACCAAAUGUCCAUAGACCAAACGAAGUUAGAAAACAUAUAACUUGCCUUCUGCAAGGGGGUUCCACACAAAUGUUCUGCAGUGCAUGUGGUGUAUCCAAAAUAGUGUGGUGCCUCACUAUCCAAACUUGCAGAACUCGCAGAACUCAACAAAUUGGCCCUCACAAACUCCUCCAAUGUUUCCAUCAACUUGCUCCAAAGGCAACUAGUGGGAGUGAAGAAAAAACUCUCUGCCGUUGAAAAAAUGCCAAAGAGAAGAAAACUUAACCCCUUUUUUUUUUUUUUUUAGCCAACAACAUCAUUUGUCAUCAUGAUGUCCUUCUGCCAAAACAAAUGCUGAAAGAAAAGGAACCAACAUUUUCUUUUCAAUUCUCAACAGCUUCUACUUUUUCUCCUUCCCACUCAACUUGUCGACAACAGCCCACAAACACCGCCGGUGCAGCGAUGACCAACGGAGAAUCUACCAAAAUAGUACACUACACCUGCAGCCUUCGAACACCAACACUUAAACAACAUUGCAGUAGAUAUGCUGUUUCCAGAACCAUUCUCCAAUCUACGAGCUCAGGGACUGCAGCAUGGUCCCUUCCCAUCCUUCUUCAACGCCACUCAUUUCGCAGCAAUGCAAGCAAAACGUGUAUCUCCAAUUGACCAAAUGCCAAAGUCAUUCCUCCCGUCGAAUUUUUCAAUAUCAUAUUUUAGCAACAUAUUCGAAAGUUUCAUAUACAUACUAGUACAAAACCCCAAGUCGAAAUCCAGAGCUCUGAUACCACUUGUUGUGCGGAAGCGUCAAAUAUGAAACCAAUAAGCUAAUAUGGCAAAAUAUGACAAGACAAAUAAUCCAAAUGACACAAGGAUUUAUACUGGUUCGGCGUAAGCCUACGUCCAGUUCAGAGACGGCGAGGAAAUUCCACUAAUAUCAAAAUGGAGAUUACAAAUAGAGUUGAACUCUCAAACCCAAUAUCCCAUAGACACCCAAUAGCUCUCACUCAUACAAAGAACAAAUGGAGAAGAAGAAACACAUAUCAAAUUCUUCUCUCUCAAAAGCCACAAAAUGUAGCAAAAUAUCUUAGAAUGAAUGAUGGCACAAAUGGAGGAUAGAAAACAGCAACCCACCUCUUCUUCUCUCUAAUCUGACGUUCCCAACCCCCAAAACCAAAGGCAUAACCAAAUGCCUUAAUAUAAACAAAAGGAACAAACAUCAUAAUUGCCACUCAUGUGGCCACAUCAUAAAGGAAAACCUCCUAAUGAUAUUCCCACAUCAUUAUGUCCUUCAUUCUUUUGGUUUGUUUAAUAGCCGAAAGGAGAGUUGACUUGUUGUCCACUUGGCCACUAAUUUGGCCACUAUCCAACAUCUACAAGAGAGCCUAAGUGCCUAUUUAAGGCUUGACUAAGGCACCUUGUGGUAACAAGAGUUCACCACUCGCUUUCAGGGGCGGGUUGUGUGAGGAUUAUGUGUCCCAAUAGAUAGUACAUCAACAACAAAUAAUACCACAUGGUGGCAGAGCGGAAAUAGUUUUAAAUCUCAAGGUUUACCUCGAAGAAAGACUUUAGUGUUUGUAGUUUUAGAGCUGAAAGCCUGGUUGCAUAAAAAACAAUUGAUUUUGUGUUGAAAAGCAAUUUAGCGUUGAUUGAGGAAUCACUCAAAAGUUUUUGUAUAAUUUGAAGAUAUUGAAACUGACGAUGGUCUCGAGUGUGAAGGUAUCAGGCUCUAUUUAUAGGCAGUGCAGAAGAAGCAAUCUGAAUCAUCUCGCUGAGCUUGAGCACUGGUAGAUCAGUACUUUGGCACUGGUAGUAACUGCAAUUUCUAGUUGGUAGCCUUUAACUGUCCCUUGAGGCGGUUUGCACUGAAAAUGCUAUACGCAAAGGUACAAAAUAAGGUACCAAAACUCAAGUGCCAAUUCAACAAGUCAUGCUACACAUACCACAUUUGUACCACCUCUCUAAUAGGAGGAGAACCAUUAACACAUGUGUGUCCCAUCUCCAUUAGAGAGGUGGUAUGAAAAUGUGAUAAGAGUAGCUUUUUUAUUAAACAACUAAGACUGGGCCGGGAUUACUGACUUGGUUGAGGUCACUCUUCGCAGCGAUCACAACGAAACGAAGUUCAUUGGCUGCCCCCGCCAAUUCAAACAUUCGGCACAAUAUUUAGGAUCAAUUGCAUCCCUCAAGAUGACCAUUUUCAUAUAUAUAUAUAUAUAUAUAUAUAUAUAUAUUACCAUGUAUCUUCUAAAAUUACCCUCAAAGACCAGCACCACAAACACCCUAACGCUGCCUCCCAUGAAUAACUAAUUUCUGAAUUUCACUAUGGCCCAACAUCUUUUUGUCUCUUCUGCAUUAUUCAAUAUAAACCAACAUGUUGAUUCUGAAUAAAACUCUUCUUUUUGUCUUUUGACACAAUUAAAAGUUUUUUUUUUUUAAGUAAACCUAAGUGAUGGGGUUAUAUAUAUAUAUAUUUAAUUGUGUCAAAAGACAAAAGAAGAGUUUUAUUCAGGGGACGUGGAUUGUCUGCCCUCCCAUUUCCAUACUUUCCUUAUGCCCUCUUGUGAUGUGUGGUCACGGUUAAGCCACGUCAACAUUUUAUAUUAAUUUUUUAUAAAAAUAAUAAAACAAAAAGUAAUAGGAAUAUAAAAUGUUGACGUGGCUUAACCGUGACCACACAAAUGGGAGGGCAUGAGAGAGUAUGGAAAUGGGAGGGCAGAUAAUCCACCUCCUUAUUUAGAACCAACGUGUUGGUUUAUAUUGAAUAAUACAGAAGAGACAAAAAGAUGUUGGGCUAUAGUGAAAUUCAGAAAUUAGUGAUUCAUGGGAGGCAGCGUUAGGGUGUUUGUGGUGCUGGUCUUUGAGGGUAAUUUUAUAAGAAACAUGGUGAAAUUAGAAAAGGUUUAAAUUAAAUUCUUAAUGGAGUGUAGAUAAAAAUUGGGGUAAACUUAGAGGAAAAGUGAUUAUAUGAUUGUAUUUCCAAUGAAAAAAUUGACUUAAAAAAUAUUGAAGUUUUAUUAAAACAUGUGUUAGAUUACAUAUUUGAUUCUAGUCAUUUGAUGUAUAUUUAAUUCAAAUUCAAUUUCUGUUUUUGUUUUAGAGUGAUGAUAGACCCACUCCAUUGUCCUAUAUUCCCACCCACAUUAUAAUUUCACCCACUAUAAAAAAAAUUUAAAAACUAAAAUCUUAUUUCCCCACCCACUAUUAUUCCUAAAAUAACCUUCUAUCACAUCACCACCUCUUCAUUGUACUCUUUGCACCCCAAUCCUUCCCUCAACUUCCUUUAGCAGCAAAAUCGGUUAAUUGGUAGCCAUGGUUGCGAGUAAGAGGACAAAGUAGGGAAUAAAGAGUAGCCUGUGAAGGACAACUAAGCCUCUUCCCCCUAUCAUCCCAUCCCUUUUCCCCUUCCGCCUCUAUUUUCAACCUUGCCAACCCAAAAUCCCUAUUGAAAUGAUACAAGGGCAAAAUUCCAGACCCACCCCAUGUUCAAGUUUUAAUUGUAUCUAAGUAUUAGAACAUGCAAUGAAUUUCAGGGAACAAAUGACACAAGGGCAAGGGAAGCCUACAGUGAGGCUACAAUGAAAGUACUAGAACAACAACAACUUGAAUUGUGGCUCGGUCGUGGCGGUUGAAGUCGAGCAGAGAGAUGAAAUGAAAGAGAGAAAACUAGAGACAAAGAGAGAGACGGUGAGGGAGAGAAAAUGGGUAGGGUUUAAAGGUCUUUUUCUAGAAGGAUAAACAUGUCUCUAAUAUUUUCAUUAAAAUGUGGGUGAAGAAAGAAGAUAAUGAUGUGGGUUUAUCAGCACUCUUGUUUUAAUGUUUAAUGUAUAUUUUUAUUUAGUAUCACCCACUAAAUAUUUUGAAUUUAUUAAUACAAAUUUUAAUUUAUUAACUUUUUUUUAUCUUCAAUUAUAUUCUUAUAAAUGUUGAAACAUCCCAUCCCAGAAUGUCCACCAUGUCCACCUGGACACCCACAUCGAGCUAUGCUGAUCGACAACAACAUAUAAGUUAUCAUGCUUGCAUAUCCAUCAUUUGAGUCUCCAACAAUUAUUCCAAUAAUUACAUAUCCAAUUUGACCUAUGGACGAAUUCGCAAGCAUACAAUCAGAAAGGUGAAACAGCCAUAAAGUGAUGGUGUUGUGGAAAGUGCAAGUAAAUUAAAACCUAAAGUAACUAAUGCUAGAGUAAGCACAUGAGCGGGGUUGAGCCCUUAUCACUGGGUGAAUAGCAUUUAUACCGUAAUGAGAAACAUCAUUCAUAUCAGCUUUUGCCAGAAAUCCUCGUCAUCACAAGAACUCUACCACUAAAAUCCUAAAGGAGCAAAUAAUAAGGGUGAGUGGGCCUAAAAAUAAAGUUUUGAAAACUUUUUCCAAAACGGGUAACCCCUCAUUGUAAACAAGUAUAUAAUUUUCCGGAAAUAAUAAUACUACGUAAUAUUGGAUAGUACCCAACAAGUACAGUAAGUUGAAGAAUACAUGGUAUGUACACAACAGUCAUCUGACAGCAUAAGUCCCUGCUCAUUAAUCUACAUAGUCACACAAGUCCAUGGCAAAGGUAUUCUAAUAAUGGAACAUGUUGGGUGUAAGUUUUACAUUCUAGUACUACAUCACGUGAAGUUGAUGCUAAGCGCAUCACAUACGAGUCCAAACAUCUAACCUAAGGACAUGUUGACACCUAACUCUGGAUCAAAAGUGAAUGUAAAUAGUGCAUGUGAACACACACAUGAAGUUGGUCCUUGACCUAGGACUGUACAAAUAUCUAAGAGGCAUCGUGCAAACAAUUAAUAAUGAGCAAGUAAGAUGAAAAAAUGUCAUGCCACAACUUUAUGCUUACAAAAAUAGUAUAAAAAGUCUAUUUGGAAAGCUAAACAUGGCUUGUCACAUCAAUGGAUACAACAGAUGAUGGUCCCUACACAUCACUACCAAUUAUUUCAAAAGGUUUUACAGACUCAGGAUUUCUUGGUUCAAAGACUUGCCUAGACAUUUUACCACUCAAAAAGGAACUACAAAUAUGUUUAUUUAUACCACAUGUGUAAGUAAUCUUGGAAUUCGAAAACAUACUAUUUAACUUCAUUGGUACGAUUCCGGAGCCUAUGAUGCCACAAAAAUGCCUUUAUUAACUGUCCCAGAAAAGCUUUUGGAGUAGACUGCAGCUGUUCAUUAUACUUGAAGAACAACUGUUUGGGGAUGUAAUACAGGCCUCCAUUACUCUUUCCUCUCAUGAGAAUUGUCUUUGUUGCUUUGUCCUGCACCCAAAAAUUAUACUCAUCAAGGAUUACAUAAGAUUUGUUAUCCCUACACAAAAUGUAAAUAGAUAAAAGACUCGCUGCAAGUUCCGGAACAAGCAAGACAAUAUAGAGAUGUAAAGGUUUUGAAGAAGUUUGAAUUGAGGAAAAACCAGUAUUCUUCAUAGGAAGACACUCUUCACUUCCAACAGUUAUCUUUUGAUCCCCUCAAAUGGUGUAAUUAAGCUCAGAUCUGCCAUAUCUCCUGCUAUAUGGUGGGUUGCUCCAGUAUCCAUAAUCCAUGCUUGACUGGUAUUGCAAUCUGGUGAAGCUUGUGCAGUCAUUGCAUUGAUAGUUGCUGGUGGUUGUGCUCCCUGAAAGGUAUAAUUGCUCCUAUGAAAGCAAUUGAGUACAUGUCCUCGUUUGCCACAGAUUUGGCAUUCUAAAAGAUGCAGGCAUUUGUUCAUUCAUCUAGUAGCAGUUAGGAGUACUGUACCUUCUCUUGCUACAUAUUUGACACUCUGGAAUUAUGUUAGACCUCUGCCCUUUCCAUUCUAUGAACCCCAUAAAGAUCCAUCUUUAUUUCCAAUAGAUGAUCCAUCAAAACUUCCAUUAUUUCUAUUUGUAAAACCACCUGAGUUGUUUCCAAAAUUUUCUCCAUUGCCUCCAUCAAAACCUUGGCCUUGAGUUGUAUCUAGGACCAUUGUAUCAUCCAUUGUCUCUUUGAGAAUGAAACUGUUGAGGUAUAUUUUUCCUUGAGUAAAGUGACCUCUAGAAGGGCCAUUUUUAUUUCCAUUGAAUCUUUGAGACUGUCCAACAAAACCAUAUCAUCUAUUUGAUUGUUGUCCACCUUCAAAAUUUCUUGGAAAGACAUCUCCUUGGUAGACUUGUCUGCUAGCUCCUGUUGUAGAUGAUUCACCUUGAUGAAAUUGUAUAUUAGCUCCAGCAAUAGAGGAUUCCCCUUGACAAAACAUUCCAGUCAUUGGUAAUUGCAUAUAGGUUUGAAGUUCUUUAACUGUCUUCUCUGCACUAAGUGGCUGUGCAUGAAAACUCUUUAAGAGUUAUAGGAGAUUCUCUAUCAACUAUUACAGUUCUCAUCAUGUUAUACUCAGAAGGUAACCCUGCUAGUGCAGCAACAAUAAGAUCAUUAUCUUAUAUGCUUUCUCCAGCAACAAGUAACUGAUCCUUUAGAUUUUUCAAUAGAAUAAGGUACUUCUCAAUUGAAUCAUCUCCCUUUUUAAUGGUAUGAAGUUCAGUCUUCAAGUGAUUAAUUCUGGCUCAAGAUAUAGUGGCAUAAUGAUCAGAUAGCUAAGUCCAAGCUUCAUAUGCAGUCUUGCUACCAACAACAUAUUCAAUUGUUUCAUCACCAAGUGUAGUAAUUAACAGACUUAACAGUGCUUUAUCAGUUUUUAUCCAAUCACGAUAUGCCUAAGUAAGUUCUUUGGUAACCCCACUUUGUCGAGAUAUCACAUAGUUUGGAGGACAAACAUUGCACCCUCAAAAUAGUCAAACAUAGCUUAUCCUUCUAGCACAGAUUGAAAUUGAAAUGAUCACUUUGCAAAGUUAUCAUCUUGCAAACGGAUAGUGACCAUGCCUAGUAUACCAUCAAUUCGAAGAGGUGUAGAAGCCAUUUGUAUUAUCAAUGAAAUAGUAAUCAGAUACUCUUCAAGAAAUCUCAAACAUAUACUAUCGAAUUUUCAAUUUUUCAGAUCAAAUCACAAAAAAAAAAUAAAAAUUUAAUACAUCCAUGGCUUCAUGCCUUCAACAAUUUUCAAGAUUCAAGAUUCUAUAGCUAGUAAUCAAUCAAGAUUCAAGACUUUGCACAAAGAUUUCACAACUUCACAGAUUUAAAUCUUCUUGCCUUUAACAGAUUUCAAGAUGCAAGUUUUCACACUUAACUAUCAAACAAACAAGAAUUAGCUUCGUGCGUUAACAAAAUCAUCAAAACACUGAAAUAUUCUGGAAUAAUUUAGCCAGAUUCAGCUCAAAUUCAGGAAAAAUCACACUUGAGAUUGAUCACUGACAAGAAAUUGAAGAUCCCACCGCAUUGAUGCAGAUCACAAAGCUCACAUAUCCUUCAGAAAUCAGCUUAUUUCACCUCACCUCCCAGGUAAAAGACGAACCUGAGCUGGAUACCAUAUUAACAAUCCAACAGUAGUGACGAAAUGAAGAAAACUCAGAGUUGCAGUAAUGGAAGCUGAAGCGAUACUAGAGAGAAAGAUGGAUAUUUCUGAAUAUUGCAAUGUAAAGGUCGUACCCAGUGCACAAGGCUCCCGCUUUACGCAGGGUCUGGGAGAGGUGAAUGUCGGCUAGCCUUACCCCCAUUU